rnacentral:lncRNA from 1 species
GACGCCACAGUUGGUGAUUCUGAAGGAGUGGACUGCCCAGUCCAAGUAGAAAGCAUGCUCAGAUUUCCUAAGAGGCAAUCCUUCCCUCAAGGCAGCCUCAUCAAUUUGAAUAACGUUAAUGCCUGCCUUCUCAAGAUCCUCGACUUCGUCCUUGAUGGCCAAAGCAAUCUGGUAGCAGGUUUCAUGUCUGCAAAAUUGGCAGCGAUUUAUGUUAAACAAUGUUUCCAUUUCAAAAGGUUAACCAAUAGUGAACCAGUUCUCAUUUAUAUACCUGGGCUGGUCAUUUCUAACAAAGGACCAGUUGAGAAUGGUGACAGGGCCAGUAAGCAUUCCUUUCAUUGGGCGAGCUGUCAUGCUCUGAGCCAAGGAGGACCAGAAGACGGUCAUAGCCUUGGGACGGCUCACAUCACCAUAGAUGAUGGGUGGCUUCACACAGCGAGAUCCAUAGGAUUGCACCCACCCAUUGGCAGUGAAGGCGAAACCUGAUAAUUGCUCUCCAAAGUACUCAACCAUGUCGUUCCUCUACAAAAACAAAUGUCCCAAUUCAAUAUGAGAUACAGCAUACUUCGUAUGCAAUUAGAAAUGCAGAAACAAAAAUGUAUAAAAUUUUAUCUAAUUCAAAACCAGGAGACAUUGCUUUGCUUCCAUUGGGCAUUGUGAAACUCACCUCAGGCUCUCCAUGGACAAGGACAUCAAUAUCAAGCUCUUCUUGGAGUUUGACAACCUUGUUGAUUUCCUCCUUGAUGGAAGCAACAUAUUCUUCCUCAGAAAUCCUAAAAAGGACAAAUAGUCACGGCACAGUUAAUACAGUAGUCGAAGUAAUUUCACACAUGGCAUUGAAUGAAGGAAAACCUCAGAUUGACUCACUUCUUAGCCUUGUAUUCACGGCGGACUCUCCUAAGUUCAAUGGUUUGUGGGAAGGAUCCAAUUGUGGUGGUUGGGAGGAUUGGAAGAUUGAGCUUCUUCUGUUGAGCAUCCAAUCUAGCACUAACGUUUGUAGCACGUCUGUGGUCUGAUCCCUUCAAAGCAGCAGCCUAAUUUACCAAGAGGAAGGAAUCACCGUUAGCAAAAAAAGGAAACUCUAAGGGGCAGCCACAUCAUAAAAAUGGAAAACAAAUCAAUCAUGCCACUUACAGCCUUUUGAACUCUCUCAUUGGUCACUCUCGGGGAGGACUUUCUUGAAGCCUGAGCUGCAGCAUUGGCAGAGAAGAAUCCCUGGAAACAAAUGAAAAGGAGAAACAAAGUUAGUCUCAUUCAUAUCAUUUCAAAAGGAAUAUACAUAUGCAAUUAGUGGGCUGAUUGUGAGAGAAAAUGUCCACAAAACUUUAACCAAACACCAAAUGCCCAAGUUGCCAAAUGAUGUUUAAUUCGGAAAAAUAUAUUUAGAAACAUUCAAAUAAAUAAUUUCCCCUUCUAAAUUUUCAUUUUCAACAACAUAUUUUACAAGCCAAGCUCAACUUCAGGCCAAGAUUUUCUGCUCCUAUAAUUAUAUUUUACCAUAAAACUAGGUCCUUGAAAGGCUAAGAUUUUCUGACUCUUGUGACUAGUCAAAGCCUAAGAUUCUUUCAAUUCAUCCGUAGCUAACAUUUUAGACUAAAAGUAUACCUCAUCCUUUUGGCCAGCCAAAGCCUUGGCCAAUGCAUUCACUUCAACAACUUUCUGGGCAGCAAAUGCCAGCCAUGACUUGAUUUCAUCGUCGAGUUUGUUCUCAUUAACAAGAUCAACAGCAGUGUGAAGAAGUGAGCAGGAGGUGGAGACCACAAGCUUGUCUGCAAAGAAAAAUAAUAAAUUAUACAACAAAUCCCAUAAAAGAAUAAGAAAUAUUUAUCACAAAGAAAAAUGCAGGCAAAGGAUGUAUACCUUUGCCAACAACACCCUCAAGCCCCCGGAGAACACUAAGAGAAGCAGCAAGAUCAUUGGCCCAAAUGUUCCUUCCAUCAACCACUCCAGCAAAGAGGUACUUGCCAGCAGGGAAUCCACUCUUGAUCAAUUCAAGGGUCUUCGUUCCACGAACCAAAUCAAAUCCAUAAGCGGUGACACCCUUCAAAGAAGUGAGGGUCUGGAAUGCCUCAGCUGGAACAUCAGCAAAGUAGGUCUCAACAAGAACAUUCAAGCCAGACAGAGUUGACUCUAGCUCGGCAUAAGCCUCACUGAAUGCAUGCAAUUUGUGUGAGUCAAGAUCCAUAACAAGCAAUGGCUCAUCAAACUGAAUCCAGGAAGCACCAGCAGCCUUAAGCUCAGAAAUAACUUCCCUGCAGAAGUGUUAAUUGGUACAACACAGAUUAAUGAUGUCACUCGAUAUAUACACACAGAGUUAUUUAGCACAUACACAUUUAUAAAUCAGUAAUAGGUGAUAAUUUCUUACUUGUAGAUUGGAAGGAUUUUCGGAAGAAGAGAAAGAAGAGAAAAGGUCUUCGCAACACCCUUGGCAGGCUUAGACAGCAACAAGUAUGACACAGGGCCAAUAAGCACUGGGACAGUUUCAACUCCAAGCUGCAGCAUUAGACAAGUGAUCGAUAUUAGCAUCUCACAAACUUGAUCUGAUUGAUAGAAAGUUACAAGCAAGUUCAGAAUUCGUUUAAUGAAAUCUCUAUGAAAAAUCUUCAGGGUCCACAAUGUGUUGAAAGUACCCUUUUCAAGUAAUUUAUCUUAAGACUAUUUUGCAAACAGUAUUGCUUUCCUUACAGAUCAAAUAAAUCAAACAACAUAUGAACACAUUUACUGAACCAAGUCUAAGUUCAAAGCUCUAUAAAUAAAUGUCAAUGAAUCUAUAGUAAAUUCUAUUGCAUCCUAAGCUAAAGAUGAGCAUAUCAUAUAAGAAUUUCAAGGUGAACGUAACCCAAUUUCAAUAUAUUGUAGAUUCAGAUAUCAAACGAAAUAAAAUUUGUAAAUAUAGACAGAACUGAGAAUAAACACUCACCCCCUUAGCCUCCUUGUACUCAGUCACAGCCUUGUGGGAAGCGUAGGAGAACUUAACAUCGGGUCCCAAUUCAGGAACAAUGAAAUGACUGCAUCAACACGAAGCCAAACACGCGUCAGCAUUCAGUACAAAACCAUUACACCAUAAAUAACUUGAAAUGCCGCUCUUCCAAGUAGUGAAUACUUACUAGUUGGUGUCGAACCACUUGGUCAUUUCCAUAGCGGGAACAGAGGCGUUUCCUCUGGCCAUGGAGAAGUAAACAUCAAAUCCAAUCUCGCCGCCGUUCCAGUUAUACCUCGGGGGCACGGCACCGAGCAUUGCGGUGGUGUCGAGCACUUGGUCGUAGUAGGAGAAAGUGUUGCUGGGAAUGUAUUUGAUCCCGGCCUGGGACAUCUGUUUCCAGAUGGAGGAUCUGAGAUCAGCGGACACCUUUUGCAAAUCCUCAGCGCUGCUCUUGCCAUCCCAGAAGGAUUCCAACGCGAACUUGAGCUCCCUCUUGGGGCCCAUGCGUGGGUAUCCAACGAUGUGAGAUGCCAUUUUACUGUCAUAAUCACGUCAUCAAUGAAUCGAAAAUCAGUCACUUUCAUUAAAUCAAGAAAAUAUUCAUUCAAAUGGAUGGGUCAUUGCUAUUACUGCUCAAAUCAAAUGAAAUCAAGAACACUUAUCAGAGCAUAAAAUCUUAAAUUAAUUUUUUUAUAAAAAAAUAAAAAACCAGUUGAAACAAGCUGAUAAUAAUCCAAGAGUUUGAGAUGAUUUUUUUCUUUCUGUAAUCACAUGAACAAUUAUGUACUUUCAGUCAUUUUUGAAGGAUUAAAACAAAAAAUUCUACAAAUAGAUUCUGAAAAGAAGAAUCUAAAAAUAGAUUCAAAAACAGUAACACAAGUAGAGUUCAAAUUGUUUUUCGGAAAAGAUUAAUUACAGAUCUGAUUGAUUCACGUUCAGAUCUAGCAAAAUCACGGCAGCCAAACACUAGAUCUAACACUAACAGUCACUCACCAGUCCAUUAGAAAAUGAAAUCAAGUUCAAAAUUCUUUUAAAGUUAAUUCUUUUUUAGAAAAUGACCAGAUUUUAGUUGAGUAUUAGUGAGUUUUUUACAAAAUAAUUUAUUUUUGUUUUUUAGAUCCAAAAGUUCGGAAAUCAAAACCAUGUUCAAUGCUUAUUCAUGAUUAACGGCGUAAAAACGCUACUGCAGAGAAGACAUAACGAAAAUGGGAACCGUACCAAACAGAGAAAGAAGAGCAGAGAAAUUGAGAGUCGAGAGGAGAGAGAGAAGAGAGCGGCGAGUUUGGGGGAGUGCCCUCUCCGUUAUUUAUAGCCAAAAAUCAAAUCUGGUUUGGUGGUUGCCUUUGGCGUGCCAACCUGUAGAUCUGAGAUUUUUCAUCUUAAUUUCUUUCUCUUAUUUAUUUAUUUAUUUAUUAUGAUUUUCAGUGCAGUUCAUAAAAUAUAGAGCUGACGCGCGCUUUUCUGAUGUGGCGCGUGAAUUGGAAAUGCGGUAGGUCUUUGUGGGCCCCACGGCACGGUCAGGACUGAAGGAAAAAUGUGAGAAGUUAUCAUAAUUUCAACAGUGCCAUAAUUAGCAAUUACACCACCAAAUAUUUCUUGAGUUUUUUUUUUUUGAUUGCUUUAAAUGCAGAGUUGUUAUGAAUUGUGUUAAUUGUAGAGUUGUUAUGAUUAGAUUACAUUAUAAUUCGUCACAAUUAUGAUAGGUAUGUACGUAUAUAAUAAUUUAUGAGUAAUGAUAUAACCACAAACUCUUAUACAAACUUAUUUUGUACAAAUUGAUGUGGCAUGAUAAAAUUAGUUGAAUUAAAUAUUACUUGAUCCACAUGAUUUGUUAUUAUUAUUUUAUAUUUUCAUUCAACCAAUGAAUUAAUGACACGUCAGUUUGUACAAGAUAAGUUUGUACAAGAGUUUAUGGUUGUAUCAUCACUCAUAAUUUAUAUAAGAUCUCGAAUAUUUAAAAAAUUUAUAAAUCAUUAUUUUCAUGUACAUUUACCUGGUAGCAAUGACAAUAACAUAAAAUAAACUCCAAACAAGAAUGGAUUAUAUUAUUUAUGUUAUUUUAUAGCUUUUUAAUUGAUUUUUAAAAGGAUUAAUUGUUAAUCAUUACUCUCCAACCGUAAUCACCAUUAAAUAUUUAUUUAAUUUAAUAGUCGGUAGAUCAUAAAUAAGAUUAGAAUAUUUAAUGGACAAUCUAAUUGCUACUACAAUUGUUAUCAUUUUUUUAAGGUAAGGGAUUAGACAAUACUCAAAUUUAUUUUUUAACCCCUUACUCCCUAAAGAUUCGAAUUUAACUAACUAAUUAAAUAAGACUGCUUAAAAACCACUCAACCACAUCUUUUGGGGACCAAUUAAUAUCGAUGUUUAAACUGAGGUUUAUUAUUAAAUUUUUUAAGUUUCAAGUUUCAACCGCUAACAACAUUAUCAUCGAUUAAUGAUAAAUAUAAUAAUAUUUCAUCAAAAAACCAUUUAACACAUCCAUCCAUAUUAAACAUAAGUAAAAAAUUUAUCAUGCAUUUCAAAUAUAUUUUUCAUCCUAAAAGUUAUGGAGAAAAUCUUGAUAUCAAAACUUACAAUGUAAUUAUGGGAUGUAAUUUUGCAUUUGAGGUCAGCACAACUUAAAAAUUACUAUGAAUGAAAAUUUAUAAUAAGCAGACACCACAAAAAAAAAUUAUUUAUAAGUAUUACAAUCAUGCAGUUUUAUUUAAGUAUUUAACCAAGUCAUUCAAUUUCUAAUUAAGACGGUAUAAAUUAGAUUUGGGCUGCCUAAGACCAAAAGUCAAAAAAAAAAAAAGAAUAUUCCUAAUAAGCAGCCUACCGCGGUCACGCGCCUUAAGAAACGCUUGGACUUAGCACACGAUUUUAAUCCAAAAUGUAUAAAAAAGGAAAAAUUUAUGAGGUGUAUAAUUAUCUUGAGUUGUUAUAUUUUGAAGAAACAAUGAAGAAAGUUGGUGGCCGAAGUUGAUCCGGGGCGAAUGGUGGUGGGCCCACGUUGUUGCAUUAUAAUUGGAGUUAUUGUAAUUUUUCUUAUAAUUAAUAAACUCCAUUUUUCAAAGAAAAUAAAUAAAUAAAUACACUCCCGAUUACGAAAAUAUCAUUUCAUGAGUGUCAAAGUUAGAGCUGGCAAAAUUUGACACGACCCGAUUACCUGACACGAACACGACAUAAAUAAAUAAGUAUGGAUCGUCAAAUUUAACACGAUUAUUAAAUGGGUCGGGUCUGGGUCAACACAAUUUUUUUCCGUGUCGGGUUUGGGUUAAAAUUCUUGACCCAUUUACCCGAUCAAUGACCCGAUUAUAUUUUCUAUUUUAAAAUAAUUUACAUAUUCUUAUAAUUAAAACUCAAAUAUUAGAGAUAUUUUUUUUAUUCUUUAAAAUGGUGAAUAUAAACACAGUGUUUUAUUUAUAAAAUUUUACAUACAUUUAGAGCUUCAAUAGUGUAAAUGUGUAAAAAUUGAUAGACAUGUAUAUUUUAUAAUAUUGAUAUAUAAUAUUAUAUAUAUAUAUAUAUAAUUAAAACCUCAAUAGUGUACAUGUGUAAUAUAUUGGUAGAUAUGUAUAUUUUAUAAUAUCGAUAAAUUAUGUAUGUAUGUAUUUAUGUACAUACGUAUGUAUGUAUUUAUGUAUAUACGUAUGUAUGUAUUUAUGUACAUACGUAUGUAUGAUAGUGUGUAAAUAUUUUAUGUAACUUUUGUUCAAUAUAUAGAUAUUAAACGGGUUAUUGGGUAACCCGAUUGUUUUUCCGUGUCGGGUUUGGGUCUCAAUAUUUUGACACGAUUAUUAAAUGGGUCGGGUUUGGGUCGACCUAAAUUUGACACGACACGACACGAACACGACCCGAUGACCCGUUUUGCCAGCUCUAGUCAAAGUGACCGUCACCUACGCAUCGCGUUUGUUGGGCGGGGUGGGUAAGGUGGGGCGAGGAGUUUGUUUGAUCGUCUGAUUACUUUGAUUUUGAUGAAACGUAUGGACGACGGCGAUGGCUUGCCAGCAAGUGGGUUUAUCAUGAUUUUGAUUGUAUUCGGGGAGAUGCUUAUGUAUAUCCUCAAAACUUCUUGGAAAUGAAAACCGCUGGGGUGGCAAAUCUUGACCAAUAAAGUGUGCGUGAUGUUGCGUUUAUAAAUUUCAAUAAUACUAUUGGCCGAUUGAGAUUAUUUUUAAAAAGUUUAAAAAUAAUUUUUAAAGGUUAAAUGUUAAUUUUAAUAUUGAAUAAAUUUUUAAAAAUUAUUUUUGAUAAAAUCAUUUUAUCCUCCAAUAAAUUUUAAAAAAUAGCGAUACAGUAAUUUUUUAAAAUCUAAUUUUAAUAAUCAAAACUAUUUUUUUAUAUAAUUUUAUAGAUAUCCGCAUAUAUAUAUUAUAAAAAUUCGAAAUCAUUAUUAUUAAUUAGGAAAUAAAAUCAUUAACUUUUAAGAAAUUAUUAUUAUUACCAAUUAUACUGACAUAACAAAAUAAAAAAUUAAUUAAUAUUAUAAAUAUUUAUUUCAGUUAUCAACUAUUAUAUAUACACAAUAAAAAAUAUUUUAUAUACAUAUUUAUAAAUGUAUAAAUAAUUUUUAUUCAAUAUUAUAUCGAAUUAAUCAUUUACAUUCUUGCAACAAGUUAACAAUAAAAUUUACCAAACACAUACGAUUGUUUUUAAAACUCAUAUUAUUUUUUUAAAAAAAAAUUACUAAACCUUUAACUGAUUCUCUUACAACUGAUUAUUUCUACAGUACAAUUAACAACAAUUAUUUUAAAAACUAUAACAUUUUCAAACUAGCCCCAUGACAAUAUUGUUAUUGUUGUUUUUCUUACUCUUAUCAAUAAAACUACGUUGCACAUAAGUGCAUAAAAAUUCACACAAAAUAAACUAUUUAACUUUAGGGUAUUAAUUGAAAAAAAAAAUCAGAUUAAGGUGAAUAAAUAUCAGAAAAUAACAAAUAGAUAAACUCUCACACUCUUUAAAAAAAUUAAUUUUAUAAUUUUAUUUAAAACCAACAGAUAUUACCAAACUUAACGGAUCAAUGUUCCAAUGUUUUCUUUUUAAUUUCAAAACCAACAGAUAUUCUUUGUUCAUUAUAUGACCUCCAAACAAAUAAUUUCAUUAAUAAAAUAAUAAUGAAAAGUAUCGUGGUGAGUACAGAGUAAUUCGGUGGCUAAUAAAAGUCUCUAUUUUUCGUCUCUGUUUUUCAUUUUAACUCUUGGGGUUGGUGCCACUUCGGCCUUGGUCGGAGUGGUGGGCUGCUGCCCUCACAAGUAUUGUGAGGACAGUGGUUCAAGCCCCCACAAAUAUUUUUGUGGGGGCUAACGUACUUAUUUAUUUAAUAUUUCAAAAAUUUCUUCUCCCUCGUGCAAUACGAGUGGAGUAUGGACAUCCCUCCUCUAUAAGGGAUUAUUUGUCUGGGCAUGUACUUCACAGAAUUCAAUGUAAUAAUAUAAGUCUCAAUCAUAUAUUUUUGAUUGUAAAUAUCAAUAUAAUAUAUCUGCUAUAAUAGCAGUUGUAAAUAUCUGUGUAAUGCAAUAAUAUGAUAAUUAAUCAUUAUUCAAAAAAAAAACUCUUGGGGUUGGUAGGCUCGUGAAUGGUCCACGUAACCUCUGGACGUAACACUCAAACAAAGACAGCACAAGGCACAUGAAAAAUGCCUAAAAACCGUAAAACCGUGACGUGUUCAACAUAUUAAUAAAUUUAUACUGUGUUUUCUUUUUUUUUUUAAUACUGUGUUGAUAAAGCACUUACGAUGGAACGACCAAUUCUAUUACUUGCAAAACUAAUUAAUAUUUCACUCUAUCAUCUAACUAAUGGAAGGCCAUCUUAAUUGAGGUUGCAAUAGUUAGAAAGUAGCGGGAAGGGUGGCCAAUGCUCCAUAUUAAUUUGCAUCAAUCCCUUUCUGGUGAAGAAGUACGGGUGAAGUAGAGGUCAAAGUUAGAAGAUGAAGGGUGUGUUUGGGAAUUGAGAGUGAGGUGCUGUAGUUUUUUAGCUGCAGUUGCUGUGAAAUAAAAGUUAUAACUGUGGAAUAGAAGUUGAGAAAAAAAAUUUGUUAAGCUGCCAAAGCCCAGUUACAAAUGUUACCAAACACCUUAGUAGCUAGGCUUUGGCAGCCCAUCUACCCCAUCACACUCCCAAACGGAUUAGAAGGGGACCGGGAUUGCUUUGUCAUAUUUGAAAAUGAUUUUGAAAAAAUAAAAAUUAAGUUCAGAAUUUGGUAAAUUCCUUUAAAAUUUCUUUUAGCAAAAUCACUCUCUCCUUUAGAUUUUGAAAAGUAUGGAAUGAGUAGUUUUUUAAAAUUUAAUUUUGAAAUUCGGAUUCAUAUUUAAUAUAAUACCAUAUAUCAUAACAUGUAUUAUAAAAAUCUAAAAUUAUCCUUAUUCAAUCAAUUAAGAAGUAAAAUCUUACAUUUAAAGAUAUUAUCAUUAUCAAUUAUAUUUAGAUAAUAAAAAAUACAAUUAAUAAAAUAAAAAUAUUUAUUUUAGUUAUCAAUUAUUAUAUAUAUACAUAAAAUGUAAUUAUAUAAACAUAUUUAUAAAUGUAUGUGUAAAUUAAAUUUGUAGAUUUAUGUUUAUAUAGAUCAUUUGCAUUCUUAUCACAUUUUAAAAGUGAGAUUUAUUAAAUAUAUAUAUGAUUAUUUUUAAAAUUUACAGCACUUUUUAAAACAAAAGUAUCAAAAGUUUAAUUGAUUCCUUAUUUUUACUGUACAACUAACAGUAAGAUGUGUUUGGUUCAAGUAUAAAAUGAUGGGAUUGGACAAUUUUAAGAUUAAAUAAUCCUAAUGCAAUGUUUGGUACCAAAAAUAAUUGUGGGAUAAAAAUAGUGGACCCCACCAUUUAAUCCAACACAAUGUCAAAAUUUUAUCACAAAGGGGGGUGUGGGAUAAGCUAAAACUUAAACGUAGGAUAACAAAAAAAAAGCCCAAAAUUUUAUACAACACAGUGAUUUUUUUUUUUUUUUGAGUAUGUCAUCAUCCAAUGAUAGUAUAUAUGCCAGAACACUCUUUUGACGUUAAUGAUAUGUAAUAUUUUCAUAUAUACAGCUAGUGACAUUGUUAUGUAAUUUCUUUUUCAUUUAUAGAUUUAUAUUAUUAUUAUAUUUGUUGAUGAUAUUCUUGUUAUGUUUAUAAUUAUAUUAUUUAGUAAUUUAUAAGUUUAAAAACUAUAACAUGUUAAAUAUAAGAAAAACUUUAAGCGAAGAUUUUGUAUUUUUUAACAAAUUUACCAAUAAUUUUUUAUUUAAGUUAGAUUAUAUUCCAUGUCAUUUUAAAAUAAAUCUAAGAUAAUUUUGAUAAAUUAAUAAAUAAGACAUAUUAUUAGUUACUAACCAAUUUCAUGGCAUACCAAACAUGAGAUAUGAUUAUUUACAGUCUAAUCCAACAUUGCACCAAACGUAAUAGAGUAUUAUAUAUAAUCCAAUGUUAUCAAAUCCAAUCAUAUCUUAUCCAAUCCGAUCCGAUCCAGUCUAAUCCAAUUUGACAUACCAAACAAGCCCUAAUUAUGUUAAAAACUACAUCAUUACCAAACUGACCCUUAAUACAAUCUCAUACAUACAUACAUAUAUAUAUAUAUAUUAAAAAUUAAAAAUUAUCUUUAUUUAGUUAGGAAAUAAAACCAUUAUAUUUAAAUAGAUUAAUAUUAUUACUAAUUAUAUUCAGAUAACAAAAUUAAUAAAAUAAAAAUAUUUGUUUGAUUUAUCAAUUAUUAUACACACAUAUUUAUAAAUGCAUGCGUAAAUAAAAUUUUAUAGAUUUAGGCCAAGGCGGAUGUACGGUACAGCAGUAUCUUUAUUUAGUUAGGAAAUAAAACCAUUAUAUUUAAAUAGAUUAAUAUUAUUACUAAUUAUAUUCAGAUAACAAAAUUAAUAAAAUAAAAAUAUUUGUUUGAUUUAUCAAUUAUUAUACACACAUAUUUAUAAAUGCAUGCGUAAAUAAAAUUUUAUAGAUUUAUGUCUAUUUAAAUCAUUUGCAUUCUUAUAACAUUUUAAAAAAAGAAAAGAAAAGUGAUUUACCAAAUACAUGUAAUUGUUCUUCAAACUUACAACACUUUUAAAAUAGAAUUUAAUAAAUGUUUAAUUAAUUUUUUCACAGCUGAUUAUUUUUAUGGUAUAACUAACAAUAAUCUAUAAACUUAUGGUAAAUAUUUGUGUGAAUGUUGGUCCAUGUAAAGAAGUAAAAACAACGCAUAUAUCAAGCAAUAAGAUAUCAAAACUCUUAGUAAAAUACAUAUACUAAUGAAAGAAUGACAGCAAUGCAAUAAAUAAGAUUAUAAUAUAAAUUAUUAAAAUUGUAUAUUAAAAAUUGAUGUAUGAAAUUCUUUUUAUUUUAGUGAUAGAUAAUGUGAUAUAUUUGAAUAAUUUGAUUAAAUGAAAAGAAAAAUAACAAGUAUGGUUGUGGAGGAAAUAAACCAUUGAACUGUGGAAUGUUAUUAAUUAUUGCUAUUUCAUUAUGUAACGUCCUGAUAAUAAGUACAGUGUUAUAGUAUAUUGAUGGGUGGUGAUAUUGUCACCCCUUAAAUUGUGUAAAGUCAACCUCAUUUACAAAUUUUUUGAUAUAAAUUAAAAAGUACAUUAGUUUUAAUAAAUUAUAUAUUUAUUGAAUAAACUAGAACCGUUAGGGAGCUGUAAUGUUAGCACUGUUUUAACUUAUUAUAAAAAAAAAAGUUAUGAUUUGAUCAUAACUCUAAUUUAGAAAAGAAAAAAGAGUUGAAUUGCUAACAUACUUAAAAAUAAAAUAAAAACAUUAUUAUUAGAUGAAAAAUUGUAAAACUUAAGGGGGCAUUUGCAAGUCCGCCACUACUCAAUAGAGCAUUAUUCAGUACUCGUUAAUAUAUCUCGAACUUUUAGGUUUUUUUAAUAUAUUUUUAAUACAUUUUCUAGAACAUUUAGAUAAAAAGAGUCAGUACUCCAAUUGAGUUGUGAAUAAACAUUUAGAUAAAAAGAGUCAAUACUCCAAUUGAGUUGUGAAUAAACUCAUGUUAAAAAAAAAAAAACUCAUUUUCACACUUGAAACGAUUAGUAAAUGGGUGAUACGAAUUUAACUUGGUCAAUAAUAUAUACCAUCUUAAGUUAACUUCAACUCAUUGAUCUUCUAUAGGGUUGAUCAGCCUGCCACAAGGCCCACAAAUUAUCACCUCUAAUGCUUUUGCAACAGUCGUUAUAAAUGCUGACAAAAUGAAACUUCUAUAUAUUUUGGUUUUUUUUUAUUUCUAUGAAAUAUAAGGCCCUUAUGGCAAAUUUCCAUCCAGCGUGAAAUUUGCUAGUUUGGCCUUGGUACUGUGGCACAUGCGUCAUGCAUGCGUGGCUGAGAUGCUUCUAAAACUAAUAAAUUAUGAAGAAUUCCAAAUUCGUACCAAAAAUAAGAGAAUAGGAGCUUGUCAUAGGUGUCCGCGGAUCGGAUUUUAUGGGUUAAACAUUAAUUCAUAUUUGAUUCGUGAUUUUGUAGAUUAUAAAUUUUUAAUUUAAUUCAAUUUAUGGAUUAGUGAAACUCAAUACAAAUUCAAUCCAUAUAUAUGCAAAUUAGAUGCGGAUUUAACCCAAUGCAUAUUCAAUCCAUCAUUUGGCGGAUUGAUUUGCAAAUUAAAAGUUUUUAAUUUUGUCCAAUCUAAAAAGUAAUUAAAUUAAAAAAAUCUAAUAUAUAAAUAAUUGAUUAAAUAAAAAAAUCUAAUGUAAAAAUAAUUUUACUACCAAUUAAAUUCAAAAUUGAACAAGAUUUAAAUAAAUUUAGAAUAAUACAUUCAAAAUUUUAAAAUAUAACACACCGAAAAAAAAAUUCAUUUAUUUAGAUCAAUACAUGAAAAUUAACUAAAAUUAUGAAUUUAAAUGUUGAAACUUGAAAGCUUGGAUGUAACAGGAAGAAUUUAAGAAACUUGAAGAGCUUGAAAAGAAAGUAAGAAAUUAAGUUUAAUUACCUCAAGUGGUGAAGUGAAACAGUGAUUGGCUUGUGCGUGCGGUGGGAUAGAGAUUUGGUGUUAUAUGUCAAAAUAUUUUGUUUGGCUUGGGGUUUUUGUUUUGCUUUAGAAAUUUUAAUGUUUAGGAAACUAUAUUUGCUUAUUUAAUUAUUUCUUAUUUUAUAUUGUUAUCGAAUAAAAUAUAAUAUUUUGUUAAUUUAGCUAUAAUUUUAUGCUGAAUAUAUUUAUUUAAAACGAUUUUAUUAAAUAAAUGUGCAUAUUUAACGAAGGUCUCUGAAAUUUCAACCUGCCUGCUAAUGAUAGCCAAUACGGCACGACCCACCAAAUGUCGGCCCACGCGGGCUUGUGGGCCAUGACGACUUUUUUUGUAAGGGCCCGGCACGGCCCACGGCACGAGUCCGUGCCCAAAAAAAGCCCACCUACCUUUUUUUUUUUUGUCCACAUGUUCAGCGUGCCUAAAAAAACCCACGUGCCUGACGUGCUUUUUUAAGCCCACCAGCCUAAUAGUAACAACAACAACAACAAUAAUAAUAAUUUCAUAGAAAUAAUUAAUGAAAAAUAAAAUAACAAUUCUAGAAUAACAAUUACAUCUAAUUUUAUUUGAACAACUAAUAUUAUAAUUGCACAUAAACUCUAUUGAAUGAAAAUGUAAUUUUUAAUUUAUUAUAAAAAUAUUUUGUUCAUAAUUUUAUUUUUUUGUGCGUAAAUAUGAAAAAUAUUUCAUUCACAAAUGAAACAUAUCUCCAUUAACUAUUAACUAAGUUAUGAUUUCAUAAAUGAAAUAUUAAUGUCGUAAAAUUUUUUAUUUAUCAUUUAUAAAAUCAUGAUAUUUAUUUAUCCAUUUAAUAAAUUAUAAACAUAAAAAAAUUAGAAUACUUAUUUAAACUAGGACUUAAAUUAAUUUUAAAAAGCCUAUACUAAAAAAAUAUAUUAAAAUUUUUAAUUUCAAGGUAUUUAUAAAAUCAUGAUAUUUUAUAUUUAUUUUUCAUUAAAAAAUUUUAUUUUGAUAUACUUUGGCCCACGUGCUAUUGGUGGCCCACGGGCCGCGUGCUUAGCCCACCAAUAAAGUGUGCUUAUUACAUGCCUUUUCGCGUGCCGUGUUUUGCCCCAUCUCUAAUCAUACCGUGCUUUUAAGGCCUGCGUGCCUAAAAUUCUAGGCCCGCCAGCCGUGCCGUGCCGUGCCGUGCCUCGUGCCGCCUGGCCCAUUGGCCAUCCCUACUGCCCGCCAACCACAUUUGUCCAAGAUCAAUUUGUAGGAAAAAAAUUUGAAAAUCAAUAAUUUAUUUAAUUAAUUGUUAAUGUAGGCAUUUGAAUCCCCACAAAAUCUGGGUGUCAGUUCUAGACUUCUGGUGAUAUAUUUUUCUAAUUAAGGAAUAAAAUAUUUUUGUCAUUUUUUUAAUAUUUUAAUUUACCAGGCAUAUCAACUAAUUAAUUUUUCUACUUAGACUAUUAAUUCAUUACGUGCGCAAUCUGUAGCCCGGCGCUCCAAUCCCAUGCAUGUUACACACAACUCAAUCAUUAUUUAUUUAUUUAUUUAUUUUGACCAACAACUCAAUGUUUUUUAUAGAGCUGUCAAAAUUUGACACGACCCGAUUACCCGACACGAACACGACAUAAAUAAAUGGGUAUGGGUCGUCAAAUUUAACACGAUUAUUAAAUGGGUCGGGUCCGGGUCAACACGAUUUUUUUCCGUGUCGGGUUUUGGGUUAAAAUUCUUGACCCAUUUACCCGAUCAAUGACCCGAUUAUAUUUUCUAUUUUAAAAUAAUUUACAUAUUCUUAUAAUUAAAACUCAAAUAUUAGAGAUGAUUUUCUUUUUUUUUAUUCUUUAAAAGGGUGAUAUAUUUUAUAAUAUCGAUAAAUUAUGUAUGUAUGUAUUUAUGUACAUACGUAUGUAUGAUAGUGUGGAAAUAUUUUAUGUAACUUUUGUUCAAUAUAUAGAUAUUAAACGGGUUAUUGGGUAACCCGAUUAUUUUUCCGUGUCGGGUUUGGGUCUCAAUAUUUUGACACGAUUAUUAAAUGGGUCGGGUUUGGGUCGACCUAAAUUUGACACGACACGAAACUGACACGACAUGAACACGACCCGAUGACCCGUUUUGCCAGCUCUAGUUUUUUAAUAUGAAAAGGUAUUGGUUAGCUUUGUCUUUAGUUUUUUCAACUUAUAAUAAGUUUGUAUUAAGGCUCCCUUUGGUACAGAUUUUCAAGUAAAACUUAUUUAGGGUUAUUUUUAGGGACCUCCCCUGAGGUUUGGUGUAUUAACAAUCUGAUAGAAAGUAUUCACGUAAUUACAAAGACCUCCCCUGACAUUUGUAUUAUGUUAAGUGGACUGUUAUUGACUAUUGAAAAUCCAAAAAUACCCUUCCUGCCAAAAUAUUUCUUUAUUCACUGAUGAACUGAUGGGUAAUUCGUGCCAAAAUCACAAAUUACUUAAGAAGAUGAAAAUAUCCAUUGGAUAAAAAAAAUGAAAUUGCUUAAUAAAAAAAUUGACAUUGCAUAAUAAUAAAAAAAAUUGAAAUAAUGUGCGGCGGCAUAGCUGCAUCUUGCAUGCAUAUUAUUAUUGUGAUUUUUUUAUUACAAACUCCAUCCUGCAUGCUUAUUAUUAUUGUGAUUUUUUUUAUUACAAACUACUUCAUAACUAAUACAUGCCACAAGAGCAGAGCUAUUAAAAGAAAUGAUUUUCAUAUUGUAAACUUGAUAGUACAGGUGUUGGCACCGACCAUAAAACCCUUAUGAUACCAAUCUUUGCUCCAUCCAUAUUUAAAUCCAGAUCAAGUAAAUAUUAAAUUGGAUUUCAGGUCCUGAAAAUCCCACUCUAUAAUUGAUAUCUUCGAGUUUUGUUGGUGCCUCAAACCUGGAUCUAGAGCAUCAUCUCUGUCAUACUCGGAACACCUAAACUAAUGGACUUGCUGCAGCUGCUUAUUCUUCUUCUGAAAUGAUGCACGCAGAUAGAUUACAGACUUUGAAAUAAGAAAUACAAUAAACAACAUGUAAUCGAACUUAAGAUUUCGGCAAACUUGUUUGAAAAUUAGAAUCAAACAAGGAAAAUGGCAAGUCAAUAUUUUUUAAUCUAGAAAAAGGGCAAUUUCAAAGUUUAUCACAUGCCAAAUUCAUAGUCUUGCAUCCACUAUUUUCUAGUUUGAAUAACAAACAAAAGCCUUAGACAAAAACACAGAGAACAUCUCACAUGGGAGCAAAAAUUGUGUGUAGAACAAUAUACUUAAGUUACAUGUGAUUACAAUCACAUUAUUUAGCAAAUACAAAAUUACCUUCUCAAAAAAAAAAAAAAAAAAAAAAACACCACCAAAUUAUUGAAGGUAUUACAACAAUAAGGCAAAAGAACACCAAAGGCAUGCACAAACCGAAACUAACACACAACUCAAUUAGUGUCAUGACCCCAAACUGAACAAUCAUAUAAACCAUUGUGGGCUCUCUAAAAGAUUAUCACAUUAUAAGCAAACAGAAACCUAUAUUUGAUGAACUACAUCUAGUACUUACACAACUCUUAAAUCAUUAGGAAAUUGCUCUUAUCAGUCAUUACCCAAUAGUUUUUUUCAACUCAACACUAACAACCCCAAAGAGAAACAACAUCCAGCACCAUUUUCAUUAAUUAAAACAGACCCAUUGUUAUUUUUAAUCAAUAAAAUAACAACAAUAUCGUGUAAGCCACUGAUUCAAGCAUUCAAGCUGUGUUUUCGAAGACUGACCUCUUCUUGCUAUCUAAUUCCAGUCACGAUAGACGCUAGAUGCCGGCAAUACUCGCUUCUUGGAAGCUCUGGACCACCGCACGACGUCAUCUUGUGCAGUAGAUGAAAAUAAAUCAAUGAUUUCAGAAAUUAUUUGUGAGUUGCAGACGCUUCUUCUCCAUGGAUGAAAAUGAUGGUGGGUUUUGUUCAAGUGUAAGCUGUGUUUACGAGGAGAAGUACACUUUGUGAAAAAAUCAUUUUCUUUCAUCUACUGGAUAAUGACUUUGGACUGGGUAAUGGUGUGUUUAAGUCUCUAUUUCACGGACAUUGAAGCAUAUUUUGCUUGAAUUUUGAUUUUGUUUAAAUUUCAAGUUUACUUUUACUUGUUUACCCUUUUAUACUGACGCUUAUGUAUUUUUAUACUAACGUUAAGGGAGGUCUUUGUAAUUAUAUGAAUACUUUCUAUCAGACUGUUAAUACAACAAACCUCAGGGGAGGUCCCUAAAAAUAACCCAACUUAUUUAAAUAGAACUUUUACAAAAAAAAAUUUAGUUAUUUGGUUGUCAAUAAACUUUUCAAGUAUACUUUGUUUGGUACAGCUUUUCAAGUAAAACUUAUUUAAGUAGAGCUUUUACAAAAAAAAAAAAAUUAGUUGUUUGGUUGUCAAUAAAAAUUUUUAUUAAAAAAAAUAUGAAAUUACUUUAUUAGUCAAGUUUUUUUAAAGUUAUGCUAUGAAAAGAAUAAAAUAAGAUUGUCAAAUAAAUAGAAAAUAUUUUAAAUAUUUUAACAUUUAAAAAAACUUUUUAACCUUUAUUUUCAAAAAUCUAAAAUUUAAACUUUUACUAGUAAAGGCAAAAUAAUUUAUUUAAACUUCAAAAGCUUUAUUAGAAAAAUAAUCAAACAAUAACAAAAAUUAUUAUAAAAGCUUAUCGAAUUAAAUAAGUACUUAUAGUUAUUAAAGAAGUUAUAUCUAACAGACACUAAUGCCGAAAGCCCCUUCUAAUUGUGGGUGUAAAAGUUUGAAUUAUGCAUACGGUUAAGGAGUUAAGGUGUGUUUGGCAACUGCAUUAAGUGGAAAUUUUUAUUUUGUUUCGAAUAAAAAUACAGCAAGCUCGUGUUCGGCUCAAAAUAAUGGAACGUUUAAUUUGCAACCGUCGGCGGACGAAGCACACCGUUCACGGCCCUUCGUAUAAAAUUGCAUAUGUAAACGUAAAUAGGUCCGGAUUCAGAUUCGUUGCUGUAGAGAGUGGCACGCACGAUCGGGCUGCUGUCGGUGGUAGGUUGGCAUUGGAAUUCUCAUCACGCGCUUCCCCAGGCGCCUACUUAUGGCAAAUUGACACGUGACGCGUGUGGAUUGAAUGGACAGAGUCCCGGGCAGUGUGUCCAAAGCUGCCAACCGUGCUCUGAUUUUUGUCAUCCAUAAUGGCUAACGACUAACGAGGGAGAUUUCCGGGCAGAAAGAAAUUGUUGUCGUUUCUGAAGGGGAAAAAAAAGUUAUUUAAUUUGUUGUUGAAGACAAAAUGAAGAUCUAAAUAAAUAAUGGCUAAUUUUGAGUGUAAAGCAACGGUAAAUGCAUUAUUAAAUUAGAUUUAGGGUCUGAUUGAGAUUAUUUUUAGAUUUAAAAUUAAUUUUGAAAAGUUAAAAUUAAUUUUGAUGUUUAUUAAUUUUUAUUAAAAAUUAUUUUUGUCAAAAUCUCUCAUCCUCCAGCAUAUUAUAAAAAAUAAGGAAGAAAUAAUUUUUUAAAAUUUAAUUUUAAGAAUCAGUUUUAUACUUAAUAUAAUCCACAUAUAUCCUCGUAAAUAUUAUAAAAAUUUAAAAUUAUUCUUAUUUAUUUAGGAUAUAAAAUUAUUAAAUUCAAACAUAUUAUUAUUAUUAUUAUUAUUGUUAUUAUUAUUAUUAUUAUUAUAAAUUCACACACGCACACACAUACUUAUAAAUUUAUAAAUAAACUUUAUUUAACAUUUUGUUCACUUAAAUCAUUUAUAUUCUUAUAGCAGUUUAACAUUAUGAUUUACCAAACACAGAUAAUUAUUUUUAAAAUCCAUAAUAUUUUUUAAAAUAAAUUUUAAUAAAUGUUUAACUUAUUAUUCUGACAACUGAUUUUUUUUGUAAGGUAUAACCAUUAAUAAUAAAUAUUUUAAAAGUUACAGUAUCCCCAAAUUGGCCCUUACUAAUACUCUGCGUUGCCAACUAAAUACUAAUUGUAACAUUAAACAUCUGGAAUAUUUUUCUCUAACGAAACAACACAAUUAAUUUCCCUCUAAAAAAGAAAAAGAAAAAGAAAAAAUAAACUACCAACCCCACCCCUUUAGACAGCAGAGUUUUAGCUGAGGCGGCUUGCUUGCAUAAGCAUUAAGGCUGCUCUUCACCAACCAUUGAACAUUCUUUCCAUUUGAUUGUUACACUUUACUUCGCCAUCUCAUGUCCAUGUACAUUGUUUUGAAAUGAAGACUUUGCGUACAACUAAUCUUUUUCAAUUCAUAAUAAAAACUCUUUUAAUUAGUUAAUAGCUAUAGCUUCCAAUUGAGACUAUAUAUAAAAAUCCAUAUUGACUGACCAAACCAAUAAUUUUUAAUUGGCUUGAGCAUUGUCUUACUUACUUCAAAAUCGUCACUCUCUUUGAAAAGAACAUGAGAGAGUUCACCUCCAUCUCAACCCUUAACCCUAUAUCUCAGUCAAGAGAUUAUUCAUGGAAAAUUCAGAAAAAAGAAAUGUUGCAAUAUUUACGAAACUCACGUCACGUGAGGUAAGAUAAAUUAUUCCUUUCUGCUUUAAUUCAUGUACAUAAUCAUGAGAAUAACUUUAAUUAUAGUUUAUUUCUCCGUUUUAAGAUUUUUCCUUUUUUUUUUUUAAUUAAUUAAUUAUAGUUCAUUCAUUAAUCCCAUAAGAAAUUAACACCUUUGCCGGUAAAGUCACACAUACAACAAUAUUUUAGAACAAAAGGGAAGAUCAUGCACGAUCAUGAUGUUUUAUUAUAUCUCUAGCAAUAUAAUUAUCUUAUAAUUAAUUAAAAACAAAACAGGUAAUUAAGCCAAAGUGGAUGGCAUGCAUCAAUCAUCAUGCAGAACACCUCCCCUUGUUUUAAAUAUAAAUAAAAGAAAUUUGUGCCCAGAAGACUUAAUUAAUACUUCUCGUUUCUGAAGUGCUCACAUGAUAUAUAGUCGGACGCAUUAUAUUUAAUUUCAUGAAUUAAUCGUACGGUUGUAUUUUGAGAGAGAGAGAGAGAGAGAGAGUGACUGAGUAAGAUAUGGCUUAAUUUAACCAAAUCUACGUAUAAAAUUUUAAAAUGAAUUUUUGAGUUUUAACUUAGGAAUUGUCUAUGAAUAAAAGUGUUAAUCAAAUAUUUCGUGUAAAAACAGUCAGCUGUAACAUUUUCGGUUGCUUUAACAAAACUGUAUAUUUCUGUAAUUUCCUAUAUGGGCCAAAAGGAACAUUUUUCUCAGAAAUUAAAAACUUAUGGUGAAAAAGAUAAGAAAACCAACAGGUUCAAAGGUGCGAGUAAACUGGGCUCUGGUGCGCCCAACUCCCUCUUUUGAUUUUGAGACUCUAUUGACCAUUGAGUUUGAGGCCCCAACGGCCCAGUUUAAAACUGUUAUGAAAAGAAAAAAAAUAUAACUAUAAAAUUAAAAUUAAUAAUGUUUGAUAAAUAUAAUUUUUAAAUAAUAAUUUGACAAAAAUAAUAUAGGGUCUUGUGUAUAUUUUUAUUUGGCAUUUCAAUUAAUCUGCUUAUAUAUAUAUAUAUAUAAGUUAAUCUAUAUUUCUUGCAAGAAGAUAGUAUUUCUUUAAUUAAAGUCAUAACUAAUAUAUAAAUUAUCAACUAACCAUCAAACAUUUAUCUCAUUUUAUCUCCACCACGAUCAUCACCAUUCAUCCUGUCACGAUCUUUAUGUAACUACAAUUAUUUUUUCUUUAAUAAUGUCAACCCACCAACCCCAUAACAAUAUCUCCAAACAUCUCAUCUCAAAAUUCCUAAUAACAUAAGUGUUUAUGUAUGAAAGAAAAUGUGAAAUAUAUAAUCAAAAAGUAGUUUAAUAAUAUAAUGUUUAAAAAUUAUGGUAAAAAUAAGUGAGAGUUUGGCAUGGCAAGUUAAUAAAAAGAUAAAAGCUCGGACACUUGAUGCAUCAAAGUAGCAAUGUCUGUCCAUCAUUAUCAUCAUGCGGGUUUAGGUGCUUCUCAUGAUAGCAUUAGCUGGUAAGACCAUCAUGCAUCGUACUUUCAUUGUUAUACAUUUUGAAGGUAAGAAUGGUUAUGUUACGUCCCUCCGAUUAGGUGUAUUUUUCUUCUUCUUCUUCUUCUUUUUCUUCUUCUUGUACGUAAUAAUUUCUCUUUCUUCCAUGAAGAUUUCUUUCUCUCUUUCUUUUUUUUUUUUUUAUUAUAAAUAAAAUGAUAAGAACUAAUUUCCUUACUAAUUGGUAGGGUCGUUUAAUGGUUCAGAUCCAUUAGAUUUUGUCAAAUUCAAGUCCAAUCCAUCAUAUAUUCCAUUUUAUAUUCCGGAUCCGAUCACUAAUAGAAAUCCAUUAUAAUUUAAAACAAUAAAACGUCGAAUCCAAUUUAAUUCGAUAUGAUCAAUCCAAUUAAAAUAAAAAUUUACAAAUAAAAAUCAUUAGUUGCUCUCUCCAGUUAUAAUUCUUAACAAUUAAAAAAAAUACAAAAUAUCAACUCCUUUAAUAUUUCAUGAUUCAUGUACUUUAUUAUCAUAUGGUUGGAAAAAAAAGUUGAAAUUUGAAUAUUAAAAGCAAAUGUUGGUUGCGACCUGCUGUUUGUAUUCUAUAUUGUUAUAGUAUAUUUAUAGUUAUUUUUUUAGCAAGUUAAAUAUAAAAGUGACAUAUAGUUUUUUUUUAUAAAAAAAAAUAAAUAAAGAAAAUAAAAAAUUAAUUGGUUGGAUUGGUUUAUAUUGGAUUUGAACAUAUAGAUCCAUAGACCAAUCUAAUAACAUUAUAUUUUUUAUUUUGCAAUCUUAUCCAAUCCAAUCAAAAUGUCAAUAUGACAAAAGUUGGAUUGGUUUUGAUCAGAUCGAUUGGUUUGAUUGGAUUGAAUUGAAUUAGAUCUUGAACAUCCUACCAAUUAGACUUUCCGUGAUUUUUUUUUUUCCAAAUUUAAUAAAGAGACUUCCCAUGAAUGUUAAAUGCAGUUUUAUUGAUGAAUUCUGCAAUUUUAAGAAAUGUUUGAUACACGAAUAAUGCAUCUCAUCAACCAAGUAACUGCGUCCCCUGCAGCAGCCGCGGCUUCAACUGGAAUACUGCAGCCACACCGGUCUUGAGACUCAACAUUCGGCCGAAACUCAAGCAAAAGUUGAACAAUAUCAGGCCUGCUUUGAGCUAUAGCAAUAUGAAGCAAUGUUUGUCCCUGCGCACCAGCAGAAUCAGCUGGGUGGGUUCCAAGCAGGGUCACUCUGUUCAAGAACCUCUCUUAUCUCAUCCAUUUCACCAUCCUUAACUAGCUGAACCACAACAUGGGACCCAACAAACAUGAUCUUGAUUCCUAUUGAUGAACGCUGGCUUCUUCCUUCUUGUGAACCAGUCACCAGGAACCGAAUCAAGCAUCAAUGUUGCAUCUUUAAUUGCAGCUGCAGGAACGACAACGCUAUGCAAGAGGAAGGAAUCAUCACAGUGAGGGAAAGUAUGAAGGAGAACUGAUCCUGGAGGAAGAUGAUACGCAAUCUCUAUGCUUACUGUUCCGAGUGGUUGCAUUGACCUGAAUAGUUCGAUCUAUUUCUCGUGUAUCUACUUGCGCUGCACUUUCACUCGAAGAACCUACAAAAUUAUUCAUAACCCGGCAUAAAAAAGACGUAAAGUUUUCAGCGCGAGCAUGGUAACUUCAAAACCCGUUUCAUACCUAUCAUAUUUCAUUCGUCCCGCACCCUCAUUUAAAAGACUAGAGCUUAUAAAAACUAGAAGUACCUUACCCAGAACAUAAAAGCAGACAAAACCCAGUCGAGUAUAAAUAUAACGUUGAAUAACACCUACCAUUUACCAUUUCAUUCAAGAACACCACACAAUUAACGAAACCAACAUCGGUAUGUUUUCAGCCGUUGUACUUUCAACUUAAUUUUGAAAGCGCGGCAGCUAAAGCCUAAACUGUUGUUUGAUAAAAGUCCACCCACUGACUGCUACCUGGCGGCUACCGAUUCCAUUCAAUAGCAGUCAUAAAAUAAAAAGUACAAAACAAACCUAUGUACAAAAAAGGCAAUGAAGCAGCCAUGGAUUCAGUUAUUUGCAUGUUUGGGAUUGUGGUUGAUUCCAAAUUGAGAAUAUACUGCGAAAUUAUGUUUGAUAAGCAUUUAUCUGAUGAUUGCUACUUUAUUGAGUGCCUGUUUGGUAUGGCUUAUUUAAAAGCCAUAAGUGCUUAUUUAAUCGUAUAAGCACUUUUUUAAAAUUUUUAUGGUGUUUGGUUAUUUUUUUAGUAGAGUUUUUUUAGCUUAAAUAAGCUAAUUUACCUCUACUAGCAAAAGCCCAAAAUUUGAGCUUUUGGGAGUAGAGGUUAAAGAGCUUAUCUAAAAAAUAUAUAAUAAAAAAAAUAUCAUACAGUUUAAUGAUUCAAAAGUGUUUUUUUUAUUGACAACCAAACACCCAAUGACUUUUUGUCCAAAAACUCUAUUGGUAUAAGCUCUACUGCUAUAAGCUCUAUUGUUAUAAGCUCUAUUUAAUAAGCUGUACCAAACGGAGCCUAAAGCAUUCAUUUUUUUUUUUCGCGUUUGGCCUCUUCACUUUUUAAAAAAUUUUAUGGUGUUUGGUUAUUUUUUUAGUAGAGUUUUUUUAGCUUAAAUAAGCUAAUUUACCUCUACUAGCAAAAGCCCAAAAUUUGAGCUUUUGGGAGUAGAGGUUAAAGAGCUUAUCUAAAAAAUAUAUAAUAAAAAAAAUAUCAUACAGUUUAAUGAUUCAAAAGUGUUUUUUUUAUUGACAACCAAACACCCAAUGACUUUUUGUCCAAAAACUCUAUUGGUAUAAGCUCUAUUGUUAUAAGCUCUAUUUAAUAAGCUGUACCAAACGGAGCCUGAGUCUUCAAAGAAAAACUCAAUCAACUAAUGCUCGAUUUUUUUUUUUAAAUGACAAAUCAAAAAGUAUUUUGGAGUAGAUUCUCAAAAGAGUGAUUAUUUGAUAAUCCACCAUAAUCCCACUUAGUUAUCAGAAAUAAAUUAAAAUCCGACGAAUGUUACUUAAGCCAAACAGCAUUAUUUUAUUUUGACCACAAGGACCACAACCCUCAAGCUGUCAAGCAACCGUUACCGUUAACGACCAAUCUUUCACCUCUCCGAAUCUUUGCAAGUCACUAUCAAGCAACCGUUACUAAUAUUUAAUCAAUUAUUAGGAUUAUUGGAUUUCUCAAAUACCUUAUGUACUUUGGUUCACUUUCUACUAAAAUAAAUAUUACAGGAGCUUUCAAAGUCUAGGCUAAGGUUGUUGUAAACAUAGAGAGAUUCAGAGAUAUAACAGCUUGUAAUUACAUACCACAAAGCAUAACUUUGUUCGAAUGAUAAUGAUCAUAAUCCAGAUUAUAGACGUAGAGAGAGGAGAAGUCGUACUUGAGGGGCAAAACGCGGCGUUUUGGCUCGUGGAUGAGGUGCUGCUCCUGAUCGUCGUAGAUUGAAGGGAGGAGAGGUCGGUCGAGGAAGUUUAGGAGACGGUGGAGGCUGAAUUGGUGAAUUUCGAUGAAGACUGACGAAUCCAAUGGGGCUUGAGGGUUUGAUUUGCAAAGAUGAAAGAUAAGAGCAUUGUUUUGGUUUCUGUGCAAAAAAAAAAAAAAAAAACAUGACAAGCGUUGUUUUGGUUUUGGUUCUAAAAAGAUGAAAAUUUGACUGCAAUGGAUCCAUACGCAGUCGGUGUCAAAUAAGAGGAGAAACAAAUAUGUUAAUCACUCGCUCAAUCACUCAUGCGAAGUGCCUUUUUUUUCGUUGCUUUGGCUUCUGAGAAAUAUAUGCAUCAGAUAUUACAACUCUCGAGGAUAAUGCAUUUUGUUCCGGUUUUGACUGAUAUUUAGUGGCAUUUGAUAAACUGAUACCUCAGAACCUGGUAGAGAGUUUAUUAAAUACAAAGAGAACAAAAAUAUAUGACUAUAUAAGCUUUUACACGGUUGAAGAUCCGGUCAAAUUGGCUUUAGUUAGCAAGAUCAUUUAAAACUUUCAAAAAACGAAUGGUAUCAAAAAGCUCUGAGAAAAAGCGGAAAAAAGGCACCACAAAGAUCUUGCAAUUAUUAUCACAGCUUGAUAAGACAUGGAAAUGUAUCUUACAAAUUGGCCUUCCAAGCAUCAAAGAAUUGGGUGGCGACAACUCCCAUUCCUAGCUGCUACCGUGGCCAGUCCCUUCUAACUAAAAUGGGACAGGACCAAAAGCAAGGUCUCUCCCACUCUCCUUAUGUAUAUAAAAUUCCCUACAUUCGAAUAAAACUACAGAAAAAGAUUUGCACAUCAUCUUCUUUCACCUUAUUUUGCAAUCUUCAAGAGUUUGGAAGAUUUCAAAGCACUUGUUAGAAUGUAGCACUCCAUUAAGCAUUCUCACCUUCCCCACACCCCAAUGGACCUCCUUAAUCCUAUCGGCAGACCUACAAAUUCUGCUGCAACUCCAAUCAAAUAAAGCAACACAAUUGUUGCCUGCCUAAGCCUUCCACUCACAGCCUGCAAUGACAAGUUCAUGAUACAAAAUCAGAAACAUUAAUAAACAAAAAGAUAUUACCAUUACUUGCAGAGGGGGAUUUGUUGCAAUUAGUAAAUGCCAUACUUAUCACUUUCAUUGCAGAUAUCAUCAUCAUCAUAAUACUAGCAAUCCAGCACUAAUAGUCAGAAUAAUAAUAAUAGUAGCAUGAAUAAAGAAUUUCUGCAGAGUAAGCUCUAAAGAUGCCGAAAGUGUCAUCUAUUAUGUUAAUAAUAAAAAAGUCUAUCAAGAAUUCAAGGAAAGAAAACUCAUUAACAAAGAACUAAACUUUUUAAUAAUGUUUAAUAAACUACGUACCUAUGAUUUUCUAUUAUUAACAUAAAUGACACUACGUACAACUGAUUUUCGCUUUCUAAUGUUUCAAAUCAUACCGAGAAAUAUAACAAUUACCAAGUCAGUAAGUAGCACAAUUACUUAAUAAGACUUUGACUUGUCUAACCCAAAAUUGUACCCAAUUCUAUACUCUACCAUGAAAAGCUUAUGAAGCCGAACUUACUUUGACCAAACAGUACUAUUAGCUCAGUUAAAGGAAACCACAAUUGAACAAAGUUCAGCUGAAAUAACUGAACUAAAAAAACUUGAUAAAAUUAAAAGUAACUUAUAACAGUUUAGUAAAGAAGCAUACAAAACAUGAAGAUAAAUAAACAUAGGUCUAUUUUCUUGACACUACCAGGUCCUUUCCUUUUUUUUUUUUCAGAUAAGAUCUCGAUACUACCAAGUUUUGGAUUCAAAAUCACCAUAUUACAAUAAUAGUUGUGAUUCAUGGGAUACAAUAUGUAGCAGCUUAUAUGUCGGCAAUUAUAGUCAAAGAUGGUUGUCAAACAUCAUCGCAAAUCAAGAAGCUAAUAAAGACCAUGUCACACUACAUUAACAUAUAUCAGUUCUUUGAUACAAAGAUAUUGAAUGUUAUACAUUUCUAAUCCCAAGUCCUGAAAUACAAAACAAAAGUUCACUUCACACAGUCAUAAAGCUAGACUGCUAGAUAAAUGGACAAUAGGCAUUGGAUAUGGGUCAAUAAACUAUUAAGCUAAUUAAUGCACACGAAGGAAUCCGUUAGAGCUAGUAAAAUAGCCCUUACCAGAGAACUCGCAGAAGCAUUCAAUUUCCUCAAAGGAGAUAACUUACAACAUAAACAUUUUGAUAAGCAGCAACACACAUAAAAUAGCUUCACUCACUAGCAACAGAGCAACUUCUUCAACACAUUAAUAAAUCCAUUUUCAUUUUUAAACAACAAAAUAAUGCCCAGUUUCUCCAGCACAAAUAGGGUAAGCAGUAAUAGAAAAACAUGAUACAUAGGAAUUACCGGCCUCAAGAAAUCUCCAAGCUUUCUGUCCUCUGCUUCAAUUGCUCAAUCAAGAAUGCCCCAGACGUUGCGCUAGCGUGGUGGUGGAGCGUCGCGAAGCGUGUGGCGGCGGUGUCGGCGAAGGCAGGUCAUGAAGAUAGUUGGUGUCGCGCAGCGAAGGCAGUGCAGCUGGUGUCAUGCGGCGAAGGCAAAUCGCGUGGUGGUGGAGUUGGGGUCGCGCGGCAGUGGCGGUGCGGUGCUGAGGCAUAAUAGUGGCGGUGGCGUUGUGCGACAGUGGCAGUGUGGAGGCAGAUUGCGUGGAGCUGGCGGUGUUGAGGCAGAUCGCGUGGAGGCAGAUGCCGCGGUGGUGGAGUUGCUGUCGCGAUCAACGCCUGUGAAAGGGAAUGAAAGUGAAGGAGAUACCUACAAAAGAAAGAACGAGUGAAAUUUUUUUUUUUGUUCAAGGGUUUCAAACCCACAUAAACCCGACUCUCACACGGGUUCAGUAAGUUUAUGCGGGUUUGACUGCAUUACAAAUUGGUAUGACCACAACAACAGUACAAUGAUUGGUAAUUACCAAACAUGCUAUUUAUGUUGGUAUUAAAUUAAUUUAAUACAAUGAGGAGUGGUAAUAUCAUACAAUGAGGACUGUUAAAUAUGGUGUGUUUAAUAUGUUGUAUUGUAUUAUAUUAUUUUAAUACAAAUAUAUUAUAUUAUCUUGUAUUAUAAUAUAAAAUAAUGAAAAAUAUCGAAUUUCAAUAUAUAAAAAAAAAAUAAAUAUAUUUUGUUAUAUUCGAUCUGCUGUACGGCCAAGGCGGAUGUACGGUACAGCAGAUAAGAAUUUAAAUACAUACACUUAUAAUACAACUUAGUUUUUCCACAUUGUCGAGGGAUCAAAACAACCCAUCAUUGGAGUCCAAUAAGUUAUGUGGCGACACAAAAAAGUAAUUCUAUAUUUUUUACGUCAUAAAUAUGUAAAAAAAAUUGUAUUAUAUCUUAUUAUUAUUAGUUUUUUUUCUUCAGUUUUGACAAGUAUAGUUUUCUUGUUGAGUGGCUCAACAAGGCUGGUUACAAUUUCGAAAUAAUGUUCCAUCUGUAUCUGUUUUCCUUUUGUUUUUGAUUUUGUAGUAUAGUUAAUUUGUACGAAUUUGUUGCCUGGUUGGUUUUUAUGCUGAAAAGUCAGUUCAUUGGAAAUGACAGAAAAUUGUUUUUCUUUUUCAUUUUUACAGAAAGAGAUUUGCAACGUUAUAAAAGUAAGAGAUCCUAAGAGAUCCCUGAAUCAUAUUAAAUAUUAAACUUAAGAUACAGUCAAGGCUUUUAUUAUGUUACUAAUCAUGUAACGAAUAUAAUUAUGUAGCAGUCGUUAAAUACAAAUUUAACAGUUAUAAAAAUAACAUGAUUUUAUUAUCUUAUAUUUCUAUAAUCGUUGAAUUUUUAUCUGCUGUACCGUACAUCCGCCUUGGCCGUACAGCAGUAUUGAAUUUUAAAAAUUUAAUAUUAUUUUUUUAAUAUAAAUAUUAAAAAAUAUCAUAAUUCUUCAUAGAAAUCGAAGUUCAUGGCAUUAAAUUUUUAACGCCGCAUACAUAAUAAAAAAUUUGAUUCUCUAGUGCCAAUAUAAUAGAAUACAUAAAAACGAGACUGAGAAACUACGAAUAAAGCUCAUCAUCAAGGACUCCACAACAUUAUAAGAAGUACUAUGUAACAUUUGCCAAAUUACAACACCACAUCAAGACAUAUCACAAUGUAAAAUUUUUCCUAGAGAUUUGGUAAUUGAAAAACACAAUUCAAGUUGAAAACUGAUAGUCGACUUGAAAAGUUUUAACAUAUCCCAUAAAAGAAAUGUGCCAUGCCAAAAAUCCUAACCCUUGGCUCUUUGACGAUAAGAAAAUAUUGAAAAUUCCAAAGUACAGUGCAAUGGGAGAAAGAAUGCCUAUAAAGCUAGUAAAGAUAUUCUUAAACUACUAUUGGGAUGUUGGGCUGGUUGGUAGCAAAACCCAAACCCUGCUGCUGAUUUCCGAUACCACCAUCUUGGAUAAGCCGCUCUCCCUCCUCUUCCUAACUCCUAAGCCCAAUAUCUUUCCAAAACCUUCACAACCCACUCAUAAAUCUCAUUGUUGUCGUGGAUAUGCAAAUUCUCAAUCUUUUCUACUCCAUCACACUCAUCAAUCAUUUGGGUAUAAACAUUAACCCAAUUAUCCAUUCCUAUUUCCUUGUUAACCUCACCCACCUUGAAAAUGUUCUCAAGACCCUAUAGACAAACUGUGACGAUCCUUUGGUCCAGACAAACCAGAAGAUCACAGAGCGGUUUGAUGCAACCUUGGCUCACCAGGAAUCUGCAGGACCAUGGUACCAUAAGUGAUUCUAUCACAUGAACAUCAUUAGAUUAAAAAAAGAAAAAAAAAAGAAACAUCUAUCGUAUGAACAUUGCUGAGUGAAUAAAAGAAACAUACUGAAUAUGUUCAUGAGAUCCUCCAUAUGUGGCAUUUAAGACAGGCCAUGCAGCCUCCUUGAUUUCAAGUUCUGCAUGUUGAAGAAGAGGUGCACAAAAGGAAGGAUAAGGAAGGAUGAUAUUGGCCUCCAUAACAGCCUGUUGAACAAAAAUUCGACAAAUUAUAAUUAUGAGUAUAUUUAAGUAGCAAUUUUGUCAGAAUUAACUAGACUUGACUAUUGAGGAAGUCACAUUCAAAAAUAGAAAAGACGAGCAAGCAAUUGUAUUCAUGCUAUCGGGACCAAAAUACUAUGAUGCAAGCAAGAAAGAAAAACAUACAUACAUAUAAAACACUAUCUUUGAGUUGGGUAUUUUCUUUCAAUUUUGAUAAUGGCAACUUUGGAUUCUUCUGCUGAAUUACCACCACCACCACACCAUUGUAGUUUCACAUACUAAGAAAAGGCAGGUUCAGCUCCCGUGCAUGCCCAUAAGAAUAUGAUGUAUUAAUUAGAAGUAAAAUUAAUCUGUUCAAUUAAGUUCUCUCAUAUAUUUGUGUGCGUGUGUGUGUUAAUUAGUUUGCUUUCAAAUCUUUUCUCCCUUCUUAAUGAUAUAUAUUUUAAGCAUGAUAUCAACCACGAUGAAUUUAUUAGCCGAUUUUUAAUUAUACAUUCAGCAUGAUAUCACAAACCAAGAGCUUAAGUUAGCCUAAUUCUUCAUAAAUCUAAUAAUUGCAAUCAAUAAUAAUGCUGAAAAUACGAGUUUGAAUUAAGCUAGCAACUGGUUCUUAAAUUAUGCAAUAUGUAAUCAUAGGUUUACUUAAAGAUUAAAGCAUUUCUGCAAUCCAUUGUGCAAAAAGAUUAAAAAAAAAAAAAAUAGUUGCCAAAUUUUAUCUAAAUAAAAAUUCCUUUAGUGGUUAGUACUUGUGAAUUAUAGAAAUUAUUAUUAGUACUUGCUCAGCGCUUUUUAGAUUUGUACAGGUAGAUUACGCCAUUUCAAACCCGACCAUCCAUUUAGACAUACAAAUCCCCCCAAUUCCCUGUCCUCCGCCUUUACGCGACUCUCCACUGUAUGUGCCAACUAAUUAAUUUUUUAAUUACUUGUUUAACUAAUUAAUUCAUUUUCUCAAAAGCAAGAUUAAUCUAUUUGUUCAAAUCUGAAGGAGAUUAAGUUAAUUGAUUUUAUUGUAUGUAAAAAUAUACAAAGAACUCAUGAAGCCAACUAGAAAAAAAAAAAAAGACAAAAAAAAAAUCAAACCCAGAAAUAAAAAGACAUGCUUCGACAGAAAAUUAAUGAAAAUUAUACUGAUUGUGGUUCAAUUUGAUCAAACCCAAAUAAUAACCGGUUUGAUUGAUGACUCAGCGGCAAAGUGCAGGCGCAUCAGUGGUUGCACAGAUGAGUGUUCUCGUGCGGCACGACAAAGCAAUUGUCGGCGAUUGUGAUUGGUGAUGACAUCGAGCGAUGGGGGUAAUGGCAUCGGUCGUGACUUUGUGAUGGAGAAACGAAUGUUAGAUUCGUUCGAAGAUUCGUGUUUUGAUUGAAUAACAAAGAGAGAUUUUAUGAGUUUUAAUUAUCUAAUACGAUACCGCAUAAACCCGACUCGUACGUGGGUUUAUUUUAUGCGGGUUUCGGUGUACUAAAGCAGUAAAUUUAUGUGGUGCAAUUCAAACUGAUUUCACCGCCAAAAGAUCGUGUAAAUUUAAUAUUAUACAGGGUUUUAAUACUAUGUAAUCCAAUACACCAAACAUGCCCUUAAAAACGGAUAGCAAUCCGGGGCCUUUAAAAACGGAAAAUACAAGCAGAGAAAAAGAAAAGCCAAUUGUUCAAAAGUGCCUAAUAUGCCCACGGAAAAUUUUCGUCACGACCCACAGUUACUCGAAUAGGUAAUAAGACAGGAAUGCCUUUGUUUGUUCGAAUAUAGAAGCACAAUGGCUCAGAAAGGAUCCCUCCAAUCUCCUUGGCACUGUCAGCUGGGUGCGGAGUAGCUUGGUGGCAGCAACCAUGUUUGAGAGGGCUGGCUUCACCUCAGUGUACUUGCGAGUCUUGAGACCACAGUCAGGGUUAACCCACAAAAUGUUGGUUUCUAGCACAGUACGCAUCUCGUAGAUUCUGUCAACAAUUUCUUCGGUUGAUGGUAUUCUUGGAGAGUGGAUGUCAUAGACGCCAGGGCCAAUUGCAGCAUCAUACUGGACUCCCUCACGGAAGACUGACAGGAGAUUCUCAUUAGAACGAGAGUUCUCAAUGGUGAUCACAUCAGCAUCCAUGUCGAUAAUUGAGUGGAUAAUGUCGUUGAAGUUGGAGUAGCACAUGUGGGUGUGGAUCUGUCAAUCAAUAAACAAUAGAAUGAGAUACAAAAUCAACAGCUAAAUUAAAGAGAUGAGAUUGGAGAUUAAAAGGGUAACUGACCUGGGUAGUGUCCUGGAUGCCACAGUUGGUGAUUCUGAAGGAGUGGACUGCCCAGUCCAAGUAGAAAGCAUGCUCAGAUUUCCUGAGAGGCAAUCCUUCCCUCAAGGCAGCCUCAUCAAUUUGAAUAACGUUAAUGCCUGCCUUCUCAAGAUCCUCGACUUCGUCCUUGAUGGCCAAAGCAAUCUGGUAGCAGGUUUCAUGUCUGCAAAAUUGGCAGCGAUUGAUGUUAAACAAUGUUUCCAUUCCAAAAGGUUAACCAAUAGUGAACCAGUUCUCAUUUAUAUACCUGGGCUGGUCAUUUCUGACAAAGGACCAGUUGAGAAUGGUGACAGGGCCAGUAAGCAUUCCCUUCAUUGGGCGAGCAGUCAUGCUCUGAGCCCAGGAGGACCAGAAGACGGUCAUAGCCUUGGGACGGCUCACAUCACCAUAGAUGAUGGGUGGCUUCACACAGCGAGAUCCAUAGGAUUGCACCCACCCAUUGGCAGUGAAGGCGAAACCUGAUAACUGCUCUCCAAAGUACUCAACCAUGUCGUUUCUCUACAAAAACAAAUGUCCGAAUUCAAUUUGAGAUCCAGCAUACUUCGUAUGCAAUUAGAAAUGCAGAAACAAAAAUGUAUAAAAUUUUAUGUAAUUCAAAACCAGGAGACAUUGCUUUGCUUCCAUUGGGCAUUGCGAGACUCACCUCAGGCUCUCCAUGGACAAGGACAUCAAUAUCAAGCUCUUCUUGGAGUUUGACAACCUUGUUGAUUUCCUCCUUGAUGGAAGCAACAUAUUCUUCCUCAGAAAUCCUAAAAAGGACAAAUAGUCACGGCACAGUUAAUACAGUAGUUGCAGUAAUUUCACACAUGGCAUUGAAUGAAGAAACACCUCAGAUUGACUCACUUCUUAGCCUUGUAUUCACGGCGGACUCUCCUAAGUUCAAUGGUUUGUGGGAAGGAUCCAAUUGUGGUGGUUGGGAGGAUUGGAAGAUUGAGCUUCUUCUGUUGAGCAUCUAAUCUAGCACUAACGUUUGUAGCACGUCUGUGGUCUGAUCCCCUCAAAGCAGCAGCCUAAUAGACCAAGAGGAAGGAAUCACUGUUAGCAAAAAAGGAAAUUCUAAGGGACAGCCACAUCAUAAAAAUGGAAAACAAAUCAAUCAUGCCACUUACAGCCUUUUGAACUGCCUCAUUGGUCACUCUCGGGGAGGACUUUCUUGAAGCCUGAGCUGCAGCAUUGGCAGAGAAGAAUCCCUGGAAACAAAUGAUAAGGAGAACCAAAGUUAGUCUCAUUCAUAUCAUUUUAAAAAGAAGAUACAUAUGCAAUUAGUGGGCUGAUUGUGAGAGAAAAAGUCCCCAAAACUUUAAUCAAACACCAAAUGCCCAAGUUGCCAAAUGAUGUUUAAUUCGGAAAAAUAUAUUUAAAAACAUUCAAAUAUAAUUUCCCCUUCUAAAUUUUCAUUUUCAACAACAUAUUUUACAAGCCAAGCUCAACGUCAGGCCAAGAUUUUGUGCUCCUAUAAUUAUAUUUUACCAUAAAACUAGGUCCUUGAAAGGCUAAGAUUUUCUGACUCUUGUGACUAGUCAAAGCCUAAGAUUCUUUCAAUUCAUCCGUAGUAAAAGUAUACCUCAUCCUUUUGGCCAGCCAAAGCCUUGGCCAAUGCAUUGACUUCAACAACUUUCUGGGCAGCAAAUGCCAGCCAUGACUUGAUUUCGUCGUCGAGUUUGUUCUCAUUAACAAGAUCAACAGCAGUGUGAAGAAGUGAGCAGGAGGUGGAGACCACAAGCUUGUCUGCAAAGAAAAGUAAUAAAUUAUACAACAAAUCCCAUAAUAGAAUAAGAAAUAUUUAUCACAAAGAAAAAUGCAAGCAAAGGAUGUAUACCUUUGCCAACAACACCCUCAAGCCCCCGGAGAACACUAAGAGAAGCAGCAAGAUCAUUGGCCCAAAUGUUCCUUCCAUCAACCACUCCAGCAAAGAGGUACUUGCCAGCAGGGAAUCCACUCUUGAUCAAUUCAAGGGUCUUGGUUCCACGAACCAAAUCAAAUCCAUAAGCGGUGACACCCUUCAAAGAAGUGAGGGUCUGGAAUGCCUCAGCUGGAACAUCAGCAAAGUAGGUCUCAACAAGAACAUUCAAGCCAGACAGAGUUGACUCUAGUUCCGCGUAAGCCUCACUGAAUGCUUGCAAUUUGUGUGAGUCAAGAUCCGUAACAAGCAAUGGCUCAUCAAACUGAAUCCAGGAAGCACCAGCAGCCUUAAGCUCAGAAACAACUUCCCUGCAGAAGUGUUAAUUGGUACGACACGGAUUAAUGAUGCCACACGAUACACACACACACACACACACACACACACACACACACACACACACACACACACACACACACACACACACACACACACACACACACACACACACACACACACACACACACACACACACACAGACAGAGUUAUUUAGCACAUACACGUUUAUAAAUCUGUAAAUAGGUGAUAAUUCUUACUUGUAGAUCGGAAGGAUUUUGGGAAGAAGAGAGAGAACAGAAAAGGUCUUCUCAACCCCCCAGGCAGGCUUAGACAGCAACAAGUAUGACACAGGGCCAAUAAGCACUGGGACAGUUUCAACUCCAUGCUGCAGCAUUAGACAAGUGGUAGAUAUUAGCAUCUCACAAACUUGAUCUGACUGAUAGAAAGUUACAAGCAAGUUAAGAAUAUGUUUGAUGAAAUUUCAAUGAAAAAUCUUCAGGGUCCACAACAUGUUGACUAUACCCUUUUUAAGUAAUUUAUCUUAAGACUAUUUUGCAAACAGUAUUGCUUCCCUUUACAGAUCAAAUAAAUCAUACAACAUCUGAACGCAUUUCCUGAGCCAAAUAUAAGUUCAAAGCUCUAUAAUAAAUGUCAAUGACUCUAUAGUAAAUUCCAUCACAUUCUGAGCUAUGGAUGAGCAUAUCAUAUGCCAAUUUCAAGUUGAACGUAACCCAAUUUCAACAUAUUGUAGAUUCAAGUAUCAAACGAAAAAAAAAAUAUUGUAAAUAUAGACAGAACUGAGAACAAACACUCACCCCCUUAGCCUCCUUGUACUCAGUCACAGCCUUGUGGGAAGCGUAGGAGAACUUAACAUCGGGUCCCAAUUCAGGAACAAUGAAAUGACUGCAUCAACACGAAGCCAAACACACGUCAGCAUUCAGUACAAAACCAUUACACCAUAACUAACUUGAAAUGCCGCUCUUCCAAGUAGUGAAUACUUACUAGUUGGUGUCGAACCACUUGGUCAUUUCCAUUGCGAGAACAGAGGCGUUUCCUCUGGCCAUGGAGAAGUAAACAUCGAAUCCAAUCUCGCCGCCGUUCCAGUUAAACCUCGGGGGCACGGCACCGAGCAUUGCGGUGGUGUCGAGCACUUGGUCGUAGUAGGAGAAAGUGUUGCUGGGAAUGUAUUUGAUCCCGGCCUCGGACAUCUGUUUCCAGAUGGAGGAUCUGAGAUCAGCGGACACCUUUUGCAAAUCCUCGGCGCUGCUCUUGCCAUCCCAGAAGGAUUCCAACGCGAACUUGAGCUCCCUCUUGGGGCCCAUGCGUGGGUAACCAACGAUGUGAGAUGCCAUUUUACUGUCAUAAUCACGUCAUCAAUGAAUCGAAAAUCAGUCCCUUCCAUUAAAUCAAGAAAUUAUUAAUUCAAAUGAAUGGAUCACAUUGUAUAUAUAUGGGAUAAAUAUAAUUAUGAACAAAAGCGUCUAAUCAAUCACAAAAAGCAAGCGACUGCAUCAAAUUUAGGGAUCCGACCCGACCCGACCCGAUCUGUAAAUUCCGGUUUCAAUCGGAUUAAGAUGAAACCUCUAACCCGAUAUAGUUGGAUUUUGGCCAACUCGAUCGGAUCAGAUCGGAUCGGAUUAAACUUAGUCCAAUCCGAAAAAUUCAAAAAAUCAAAACUACAAUAAGUAUAAAUCUAAAUUUUCAAUUCAAUUUGAUCUAAUCUGAAUAUAUUCGAAUCGGAUCAAAUACUAUGCUCUGCUUAAACUUGGAUUAUAUUUUUUUCAAUUUGAUUAACCUAAAAUUCGAUUGGAUAGAUCCAAAACUGAAUUUAUCUACCCCUCAGUCAUCAAUCAAUUACAAAACCUAAAAUCCGAUUGGAUAGAUCCGAAACUGAAUUUAUCCACCCUUAAGUCAUCAAUCAAUUACAAAGGCGACUGAUGUUUAUACAAUGGACAAUUAUUAAGUUACAGCUCUUGUAAUUUACAACUUAUACAAAAAUAUGUGAAAAAUUGUGAUAGGCAGUACAGUGUCAUGAUUUUAUACAAAAAUAUGUAAACAAUUGUGAUAGACGGUAGAACCUCAUGAUUUUAUAAAAAAUACGUAAAAAGUUGGGAUAAGUAAUGGAGCCCGCAUAAUUUUUUAUCAGCUGCAAGUUGCAAGUUACAGCAACUGUAACUUAGCGACCCCGACUUCAAUGUAAAAUGAGAAAGUACUCCUCCGCAUAGUACCUGAUGCUCAAAAGUCAAAUCACACGAAAUGCAAAUAGACUUAUCAGAGCAUAAAACCUUAUAUUACUUUUUGAAAAACGAUUUGAAACAAGGGCAAAAUUACAGUGUAACCGUACUUAGUCAUUGAAUUCAGCUCACAAUUAUCAUUAUAGUUAGAUCUAAUAACUAGAUCCAACUGUAUCCACAGUUAUAUUGUAGUUAGAUCUGAUAACUAAAUCCAGAUCCAGCUGUCCCCACAAUUGUCAUUAUAGUUAGAUCUAAUAAUUAGAUUCGGCUGAUUCAGCUGUGAUGUAGUACCCUGUAGUGCCAUAACUGGACAAAGAAACAAACUGAUAUAUUUUCUUUUUUGAAACAAACUGAUACUAAUCCAAGAGUUUCAGAUGAUCGGUUUUUUUUUUUUUUUCUAUAGUCACAUCAAUAAUUAAGUACUUUCAGUCAUUUUCGAAGGAUUAAAACGAAAACUCUAAAAAAAUUCUGAGAAUGAAGAAUCCGAAAAUAGAUUCAGAAAUAGUAACACAAGUAGAGGUCAGAUUGUUUUUUGGAAAAGAUUAAUUGCAGAUCUGAUGAACUCAAGUCUAGAUCUAGCAAAAUCACGGCAGCCAAACACUAGAUCUAAGACUAACAGUCACUCACCAGUCGAUCAGAAAGUGAAAUCAAGUUCAAAAUUCUUUUUUUUUAAUAGAUCCAAAAGCUAAUAUACAUAUAUAUAUGGCAAAAUAUAUAUACCGUACCCGAGAAGGACGAGCAGAGAAAUUAAGCUUUUUUCGAGAGAACGAGAAAGAAGAGAGACGAGACUGUUAGAAAUUGCUGUCAGUUUAAUUUUUAUUUAUAGCCAAAAACCUAACCUUGUUUAGUGGUUACUGGUUACCGUCUUCGGCGGUGUUGAUCUGAGAUUUAUCAUUUUAAUUUCUUUCUCUUACUUAUUUAUUUAAUUUGGGUCCAACUACGGUGAAACUGUAGUACCGUGCUACAGUUAUUUUCAACCGUUUGAUUCACUUGGAUGGUGGGAUCCAAUAAAAUCCAAUAACUGGGUGCAACCGUAGCACGGUGCCGCAGUUGCACCACAGUUUUUCCCAUUUAUUUAUUAUGCUUUCAGUGCAGUUGGCAAAAACAUGGAGCUUACGCGCGCUUUUCUGAUGUGGCGCGUGAAUUGGAAAUGUGGUAGAUCUUUGUGGAUCCGCCGGUGCAGUGAAGAGUGAAGGAAAAAAGAGAAAAGUUAUCAUGCCAGAUCAUUUGAAGAGAGCCGCAAUUAGUAAUUACACCACAAUAUAUUUCUGAUUAUUUGCUUACUUUGAUGAUGUUUUUACUGAUUAGUAAUUGGAAUAUGUUAGAAUCUAAAUAUAGUAGAAUCAUAAUAGAGUUGAAUCAAAAUAGACUAUAAUUAGAAUGGAUAAUGGGAAUUAGAAGAAUUAUUUGCUUUAGUUGUGAGAAUCCAAAUUGGAAUGAACUAUAUUGUCGUUGAUAUGUUUACUUUAUCAUAGAAUAUGAAUGAAUUAUUACAAGUUACUAAACAGACCUUAAGUUGAUUAUUGUCAUUAUUUAUUUAUUUAUUAUUAUUAUUAUUAUUAUCAUCAUCAUCAUCAUCAAAAUUAUUAAUCUUAUUAUUAAUGUUAAUUAUAAUAAUUAAUAAUUAUAAUAGUAUUAUAAUAAUAAUAAUAAUAAAAGCAAUCAUAAAAUGAGAAUUUCAAGAUUUAAGUAGAGAUAAUAUAAUUAUUUUAGAAAAUGAGAAUUUCCAUGAGAAUGUGAACUCUAUUAAUCAUUCCCAAUUUGAAGUGGGGCCUGCCAUUUUGAUUCAAUCUCUCAUUUAAGCAAGUAAAUACGACAUUUAUUCUCAUUCCCUCAUUCCCACUCUCAGGUAGCGUUUGUUUUUUAACUUAAUGACUUAAAGUGACUUAACUUAAUUAAUUAAGUUAAUUAGAGGUGUUUAUUUUUAUAACUUAAUGAGACUUUUUAGAUAAUUUUGACUUAAUAAAAUGAGCCAAUUUUUUUUGGCUUUUUACUUAAUGGAGAAAUUUGAAUUUAGUCAAUUACUUACUAAUGUCAAAAAUAUCUAUGUUUUAUAAUUUAUUUUUCAUGUCUAUCCCAAAACUCACCCAUAGACAUUUACCCCACAUAAAAAUAUCCCUAUUUUUUCUUUCUUAUAUUAUAUACGAUAAAAUUUGAAAUUUAUGGUAUUUUAUAUAUUAAAAUUCUAAAAUAAUUAUGUAUUCACUUGAAUAUAGUUUUACUUAUAACUGUUAAAAUAUUGUGGUAUUUAAUAUAUUAUUUAUUUGACAUUAAAAUUUAAUAAGGAUACAAAUGUAAAAGUACAUAUUUUCAGUUUUUUCAGUUAAAAAAAAAGCAACUUAAUACUUAUUUUUCGAGAUUCAGACGAAAAAAUAAACAUAUUAUUCAUAUUCAGACAUUUAGAUAUAUUCAGAAUUCAAACUAAUUCAGGUCUAUUCAGAUUUUAGACAAAAAAAACAAACGCCACCUCAAUCAAUAAACACACCAUAAAUGUAGAGUUGUUACUAUUAGAAUACAUUAUAAUUCAUCACAAUUAUGAUAGGUAUAUACGUGUGUAAUAAUUUAUAUAAGAUGCUAAAUUUUGAAAAUAAUAAAAAAUCAUUUAUACAUAUUUAAAAAAAUCAUUAAUACAUUAAAAUGUGCAUCACAUAUACAUUUACAUAAUAGCAAUGACCAUAGUAUAAAAAAAACUCCUAAAAGAGAACGACUUCGUUAUUUAUGUUAUUUUAUAUAUUUUUAAUUGAUUAUUAAAAGGAUCAAUUGUUAAUUAUUAUUCUCCAAACAUAAUCACCGUUAAACAUUUAUUCAAUUUAACAAUAGGUAGAUGUUAAAUAAUAUUGGAAUAUUUAAUGAACAAUAUAAUCACUAUUGCAGUUGUUUUUUUUUUUUAGUAAUGGAUUAUUCGAAACUCAAAUUCAUUUUUUAGCCCCCUUACCUCUCUUAAAAUUCAAAUUUAAGUGACUAAACAAAUAAAACUGCUUAAAAUCUAUACGACUACAUCUUUGGGGACCAAUUAAUAUGGAUGUUUAAAUCUUGAUUUAUUAUUAAAUCUUUGAGUUUCAACCACUAAUAACAUCAUCAUCGAUUAAUGACAAAUAAAAUAAUACAUCAUCAAAACCAUUAAACACGUCCAUCAAUAUCAAAAACAAGUAAAAAGUUUAGCAUGUAUUUCAAAUAUACUUUUCAUCCCAAAAGUUGUAGAGAAAGUCUCGAUAUCAAUGUCACUAUGAGACGUAAUUUUAUAUUUAAAGUCAGCGCAACUUAAAAAUUACUAUGAAUGAAUAAUACACCAUAAAAAAAUUAUUUAUAAGUAUUUUCAUCAUGUAUUUUUAUUUAACAAUGGUGACAUUUAUUUUUUAACUUAAUGACUUAAAGUGGCUUAACUUAAUUAAUUAAGUUAAUUUUAGGUGUUUGUUUUUAUAACUUAAUAGGACAUUUUAGAUAAUUUUGACUUAAUAAAAUAGGCCAAUUUUUUUUAACUUUUUACUUAAUAGAGAAAUUUGAAUUAAGUCAGUUACUUUCUAAUGUAAAAAAAUAUUCCUACUUUAUAAUUUAUUUUUCAUGCAUAUUCAAAAACUCACCCAUAGAUAUUUACCCCACAUAAUCUCAUCUUUAUUUUCUUCCAGCCGUCAUGGAAUCCCUCCUCACUUUGCUUCUCUCCUCUAGUUCUUGAAUCUCCCUUUAAUUUCUCGCUAGGCAAAGCACUUGAAUUGGGCUUUUUUUUUUUCCUUUUCAAUUACGUUUUCCAACAUUCACUUAUAUAAUAAUCAACUAGUUGCUACUCUUUUUAGUGAUAAAAUUUGAAAUAUGGUAUUUUAUAUAUUAAAUUUUCAAAAUUAUGUAUUCACUUAAAUGUAGUUUUACUUAUAAAUAUUAAAAUAUUAUGUUAUUUAAUAUAUUAUUUAUUUGACAUUCAAAUUUAAUAAGGAUAUAAAUGUAAAAGUACAUAUUUUUAAUUUUUUAAGUUGAAAAAAUAACUUAAUAUUUAUUUUCAGAUAUUCAAAUAAAAAAUAUAUUAUUUAAAUUCAAAAAUUUAAAUCUAUUCAAAAUUUAAAGUAAUUCAGGUCUAUGCAUAUUUCAAUCAUAAAAACAAAUGCCACAUGAGUCAUUCAAUUUCUAAUUAAGAGGAUAAAAAAUAGAUUUGGACUAUCCUAAGACAAAAACAAAAAAAAAAACAAAAAUAAGAUUUCCUAAUAAGUGUACUAACGUGGUCACGCGCCUUGAGAAACGCUUGGACCUAACACACUAUUUUAAUCCGAUAUGCAAAAAAAGAAAAAAAAAAAAAAGGAAAAAUUAUGAGAUGUAUAAGUUUCUAGAGACGUGUUAAAUUUUGAUGAAACAAUGAAGAAAGUCGGUGGCCGAAGUUGGUAUGGGGCAAUGCGAAUGGUGGUUGGCCCACGUUGCCCUGUAAUUGGAGUUGUUAUAAUUUUUCUUAUAAUUAAUAGGACUUGACACAGACUGCAGCAUCAGCCGUUGGAUGUGGAGGGAGAAACUAAACAAUAGAAAACCGUAUGGUGGGAUGACGGUAGAUGUUUGUUACAGAAACUGUACCAUAGACAGGUCCUAAUUAAUAAGCUCUACGUUUUGAAACAAUAAAUAAACUCCAGAUGACCAAAAUAUCAUUUCAUACUGCUACCUAGACAUCUUGGCGAGGGUGGGUAAUGUGGGGCCCGGAGCUUGUUUGAUCGUCAAUUAUUCUCUGGUUUGGUGAAACGAAUGGACGGACGAUGGUGAUGGCUUUUAGGAGAUUAGUAUUAUUAUUAUUAUUAUUAUUAUUACAUUGAGAUCGUAAAACAAAAAAUUCAAUUAAUAAUAUAAAAUAUUUAUUUAAUUUAUUAAUUAUUAUAUAUACACAAUAAAAAAAUUUAUAUACAUAUUUAUAAAUGUGUAAAUAAAUUUCAUUCAAUAUUAUAUCCAAUUAAUCAUUUAUAUUUUUCUGCUGUACCGUACAUCCGCCUUGGCCGUACAGCAGUAAAGCUGCUGAUGCUUUAUCGCGAAUUCAUGAGGAAAAUGUGAUUGAAGAACCCAAACCAACAACUCUUUGUUUGUCGUUAGACAUUUACCCCACAUAAAAAUAUCCCUAUUUUUUCUUUCUUAUAUUAUAUACGAUAAAAUUUGAAAUUUAUGGUAUUUUAUAUAUUAAAAUUCUAAAAUAAUUAUGUAUUCACUUGAAUAUAGUUUUACUUAUAACUGUUAAAAUAUUGUGGUAUUUAAUAUAUUAUUUAUUUGACAUUAAAAUUUAAUAAGGAUACAAAUGUAAAAGUACAUAUUUUCAGUUUUUUCAGUUAAAAAAAAAGCAACUUAAUACUUAUUUUUCGAGAUUCAGACGAAAAAAUAAACAUAUUAUUCAUAUUCAGACAUUUAGAUAUAUUCAGAAUUCAAACUAAUUCAGGUCUAUUCAGAUUUUAGACAAAAAAAACAAACGCCACCUCAAUCAAUAAACACACCAUAAAUGUAGAGUUGUUACUAUUAGAAUACAUUAUAAUUCAUCACAAUUAUGAUAGGUAUAUACGUGUGUAAUAAUUUAUAUAAGAUGCUAAAUUUUGAAAAUAAUAAAAAAUCAUUUAUACAUAUUUAAAAAAAUCAUUAAUACAUUAAAAUGUGCAUCACAUAUACAUUUACAUAAUAGCAAUGACCAUAGUAUAAAAAAAACUCCUAAAAGAGAACGACUUCGUUAUUUAUGUUAUUUUAUAUAUUUUUAAUUGAUUAUUAAAAGGAUCAAUUGUUAAUUAUUAUUCUCCAAACAUAAUCACCGUUAAACAUUUAUUCAAUUUAACAAUAGGUAGAUGUUAAAUAAUAUUGGAAUAUUUAAUGAACAAUAUAAUCACUAUUGCAGUUGUUUUUUUUUUUUAGUAAUGGAUUAUUCGAAACUCAAAUUCAUUUUUUAGCCCCCUUACCUCUCUUAAAAUUCAAAUUUAAGUGACUAAACAAAUAAAACUGCUUAAAAUCUAUACGACUACAUCUUUGGGGACCAAUUAAUAUGGAUGUUUAAAUCUUGAUUUAUUAUUAAAUCUUUGAGUUUCAACCACUAAUAACAUCAUCAUCGAUUAAUGACAAAUAAAAUAAUACAUCAUCAAAACCAUUAAACACGUCCAUCAAUAUCAAAAACAAGUAAAAAGUUUAGCAUGUAUUUCAAAUAUACUUUUCAUCCCAAAAGUUGUAGAGAAAGUCUCGAUAUCAAUGUCACUAUGAGACGUAAUUUUAUAUUUAAAGUCAGCGCAACUUAAAAAUUACUAUGAAUGAAUAAUACACCAUAAAAAAAUUAUUUAUAAGUAUUUUCAUCAUGUAUUUUUAUUUAACAAUGGUGACAUUUAUUUUUUAACUUAAUGACUUAAAGUGGCUUAACUUAAUUAAUUAAGUUAAUUUUAGGUGUUUGUUUUUAUAACUUAAUAGGACAUUUUAGAUAAUUUUGACUUAAUAAAAUAGGCCAAUUUUUUUUAACUUUUUACUUAAUAGAGAAAUUUGAAUUAAGUCAGUUACUUUCUAAUGUAAAAAAAUAUUCCUACUUUAUAAUUUAUUUUUCAUGCAUAUUCAAAAACUCACCCAUAGAUAUUUACCCCACAUAAUCUCAUCUUUAUUUUCUUCCAGCCGUCAUGGAAUCCCUCCUCACUUUGCUUCUCUCCUCUAGUUCUUGAAUCUCCCUUUAAUUUCUCGCUAGGCAAAGCACUUGAAUUGGGCUUUUUUUUUUUUCCUUUUCAAUUACGUUUUCCAACAUUCACUUAUAUAAUAAUCAACUAGUUGCUACUCUUUUUAGUGAUAAAAUUUGAAAUAUGGUAUUUUAUAUAUUAAAUUUUCAAAAUUAUGUAUUCACUUAAAUGUAGUUUUACUUAUAAAUAUUAAAAUAUUAUGUUAUUUAAUAUAUUAUUUAUUUGACAUUCAAAUUUAAUAAGGAUAUAAAUGUAAAAGUACAUAUUUUUAAUUUUUUAAGUUGAAAAAAUAACUUAAUAUUUAUUUUCAGAUAUUCAAAUAAAAAAUAUAUUAUUUAAAUUCAAAAAUUUAAAUCUAUUCAAAAUUUAAAGUAAUUCAGGUCUAUGCAUAUUUCAAUCAUAAAAACAAAUGCCACAUGAGUCAUUCAAUUUCUAAUUAAGAGGAUAAAAAAUAGAUUUGGACUAUCCUAAGACAAAAACAAAAAAAAAAACAAAAAUAAGAUUUCCUAAUAAGUGUACUAACGUGGUCACGCGCCUUGAGAAACGCUUGGACCUAACACACUAUUUUAAUCCGAUAUGCAAAAAAAGAAAAAAAAAAAAAAGGAAAAAUUAUGAGAUGUAUAAGUUUCUAGAGACGUGUUAAAUUUUGAUGAAACAAUGAAGAAAGUCGGUGGCCGAAGUUGGUAUGGGGCAAUGCGAAUGGUGGUUGGCCCACGUUGCCCUGUAAUUGGAGUUGUUAUAAUUUUUCUUAUAAUUAAUAGGACUUGACACAGACUGCAGCAUCAGCCGUUGGAUGUGGAGGGAGAAACUAAACAAUAGAAAACCGUAUGGUGGGAUGACGGUAGAUGUUUGUUACAGAAACUGUACCAUAGACAGGUCCUAAUUAAUAAGCUCUACGUUUUGAAACAAUAAAUAAACUCCAGAUGACCAAAAUAUCAUUUCAUACUGCUACCUAGACAUCUUGGCGAGGGUGGGUAAUGUGGGGCCCGGAGCUUGUUUGAUCGUCAAUUAUUCUCUGGUUUGGUGAAACGAAUGGACGGACGAUGGUGAUGGCUUUUAGGAGAUUAGUAUUAUUAUUAUUAUUAUUAUUAUUACAUUGAGAUCGUAAAACAAAAAAUUCAAUUAAUAAUAUAAAAUAUUUAUUUAAUUUAUUAAUUAUUAUAUAUACACAAUAAAAAAAUUUAUAUACAUAUUUAUAAAUGUGUAAAUAAAUUUCAUUCAAUAUUAUAUCCAAUUAAUCAUUUAUAUUUUUACAGCGGUUUAAUAAUAAUAUUUACUAAAUACAUAUGAUUAUUUUUAAAAUUCACAGUAUUUUUAAAAAUAAAUUUUAUAAAAUUUUUAACUAAUUUUCUUUACAACUAACUAUUGAACGGUUUAACUAAUAGUAAUUAUUUUUAAAAUUAUAGUAUUAUCAAAUUAGUCCUAUGUCAAAUUUGUUAUUGCUGUUUUUUUUUUAAUUAAAAAAUUACAUAGUGCAUACGUGCAUAAUAUGCCCAACUCAAAAAUUCACACAAAAUAUACUAUUUAACUUUAAGGCUUUAAUUGAAAAAAAAAAUUAAGAUUAAGAUGAAUAAAUACUAGAACAUAACAAAUAGAUAAACUCUCCCAUUCUUUAAAAAGAUUAAUUUUAUUUUAAACUUACACUUCGAAUUCAAAGUAGACAUUGAUUGAUAAAAUUAUACAAACGGAUCAAUAUUCCUACAUUUUCUUUUUAAUUUCAAAACCAACAGAUAUUGUUUGUUCAUUAUAUGACCUCCAAACAAAUAAUUUCAUUAAUAAAAUAAUAAUGAAAAGUGUCGUGAUGGGUAUAGAGUAAUUAGGUGGCUAAGUUUCUACUUUUCAUUCUAACUCUUGAGGUUGGUAGGCGCGUGGGUGGUCCACAAAACCCGUGGACGGUAGCAUUCAAACAAAGACUGGAGGCACCAGAAAAAUGUCCAAAAAGUGUGAAACCGUGACGUGUUCAACAUGUUAAUAAAUUUAGGCAAAUGUUAAAGUUACGGAGCUGGCUACGUUACAGAAACUGUACGUAACAGCCAUGCAUUUUUUAUUCGUUGGAUCUAGAGACUGAAAUUGGAUGGUUGGGAUUAAAGGCCAGAAUAGAAAUUAAUCACGGGCAACCGUUUUUAACAUUUAGAAGGGUUUAUUUUCAUGCACACCCAAAUAUUUUGACAAAUAUCAAUAUGCACCCAGUAACUUUUUAUGUAAAACCACAUAACCGACCCGUUAACUUUUCUACUAUUGAAUUAAAAAACUAUCAUGCCUCAAUUGAAUUAAAUUGAUCAGGUAAAAUAUCUUUUAUAACUUGUCAAUUUUUACAGUGAAAUAUACGAGUAUUUAGUAAAAUCAAAUUUAUUUUUUAUUCAGUAAUCAAAUUUUUUUAUUUAGUGAAAUCAAAAUUAUUUUUCUUUAGUUGUAAGAUUUUUUUAACAAAAAAAUUCUAAAAUCAGAUUUAACUCAUUUACUAUUUUAAAAAAUGAACUUUUUACUAACCAAACUAGAGUUUAUCUUUAGUCAACAUAUUUUUUUCUCUAAAAUAACCUUUGAUAGAAUUACUUAUAUAAACAUGUCAGUAUCAAAAUUACUUCAUAUUUUACCAUCCAUCAAUUUAAACUAGUGUGAAAUUUUUUUAGUUUGAUAUUGAAAAUAUGAUAGUUGAUGAGAGAAAUCUAAUUCAAAUUUACAGAUAGAAUAGUUUCUUAUAAUUGCGUACAUGGUAUAUCAAAAAUAUUUUUUUGUGAGUUUUUAAAAAAAUUGUGUCACAAGAUGAAAUUAUCUCUUGAUUUUUCAAUUCCUGGAAUUUAUGUAAAACAAUAAACACAAGUAAAUCUUUUGGUUUGUGACUUCUUGAAGGAAUGUUUGGGAACGCACAAGUUCCUCUCUCCUUCAAAAAGAAUGAUAAGUGCAAAUACCAACCUAGAAAAUUGAUUUAUAAUUCAAAGAAGAUUUGAUUGAAGAUGAUUAAUUGAAAUUUAUCUUUGCAUGAUGUCAAACAUUUUUCAAAAUGACUAAGUCAAGUCUCUUUGUUAAUUCAAAUCAAGAAAAAUUAGAAAAAUAUUAAUGCAUAGAAAUUCUACUAAGAGUUAUUUAUGAAAUUCUCAAACGAAUAGAAAUUAAAUUAACAUUUUUAAAUUUUAGUUAUGGGUUUAUUUUAAAAAUGGGUUUAGAAAGAAAUUUGAGGGGUUUAAAGAACCCCGCCCUUUCUUUAAUUAUUCGGUGAAUUUGAAAUAUAUUAAUAAGGUAUAAGAAUAUGUUAUUCUAAUCUUCUUAUGCAAAAUCUAUGCAAUUAAAAAAAAAUUCACCAAACGGUAUUUGUCUUUUUAUUGACAUUUAAUAAUAUUGAUGGCAAAUAUAUACAAUUAUCAAUCAAUUGUUAUCAACUAUUCAAGAUAACUGAAAAACUAAUUGCGUGAAGUUGGAGUAAUGAUUGUUUGAAUUGCCAAGAGUUUUUUUUUAAUAGAAACUAUUGCAAUUCAUAUCAUUAAAAAACUUAAAGACUACAAGUCGAAUAAAAAAUCUUUCCUUAUAAAAGAAUUUGACCAACUCAAAGUACAGUGUUAAAUCCUUGAGAUACAAUGAACCUAAAAAUCCUACUUUGACACACCACAAAUAAUGAAUCUAACUUAACAAUCAAUGGAGAUAAAUCAAUUUUACUAGCAAAAUAUAAGCCAAAACACAAGGCAACGUCUUCACCAAAAUCAAUAUCAUUCAAAUAAUUCCCCUUGUGAACGCCUGAAGCUAUCAUAAAAACAACAAAAAAUAAAAAAAUAAAAACAAGUAGACAAGCAAAAAAAUUCCCCAAUAACAAGUUACCCUACAAAACUUUUCCUUGUAGAACAUACACAGAAACCGCAGCUAUAGGGCUAUCGAAAGUAGGGAUGGCAAUGGGGAGGGGAGGGGAGGGGACCAAUCUCCCCAUACCCAUCCCCGAUAUUUUGCGUAUGUCCCCGUCCCCGUCAGAAUUGCUUGAGAGAAUCUCCAUCCCCUCCCCGAAUAAUAACAGGGGAUCCCCGAGGGUCCCCGGUCUUUGGAAAAGCUAGGAAAGAAAAGGGACGUGAAAAACAAAGGGGGUAGAUUUUUUGAAGGGGAAAGAAAAAGAAACCCUAGAUCUAAAUUUUUCUCUUCUCUCUAUGAAGAACUAAACCUAUUAUUCUGGUUGAAGAUUAAUAAAGCUUUGGUUCAUCAUUACUGUGAGAUCUUUCUUAUGCUUUAAUUGUUUUAUUGCUUUUUGGGUAUUUGUUUAUUCUCUAAAUUAUUGUCAUGAUUAUAUUUGUUAAUUAGAUAAUUGGCCACUAUUUAAUUAUCAACUUAAUCUAUUGUCAAUUAAAAGAUUCAUCGUAUGAAGAUUUUAAUAUUUGUGACAAAUAGCAUAGCAGUGCGUUGUGUUAUGAGAAUAAACAAUCUAAUUUAAAUGAACCAUCGUAUGCGUUUGUUGAUUAGGAUUUGGGUCUCUCUGAUUUUUCAGGUUGUCAAUUAAUUAAAUCCUAUGAUUGUAUCUAGGGUUAUCUAUUAAUUAGGGAAAUAACCAAUGGUCGUACCUUAGUUAUCGACUAGUUAAAGAGAGAUUGGCUAUUAAAGGGUCUCAGUAGCUAGGGAUGGCAAAAAUCCCCACGGGGACGGGCACCCUCGGGGAUUUUCCCCAUUCGGGGAGGGUACGGGGAUAAUUUUAUACCCAAUUUUUUUUUCGGGGAGGGGACGGGGAAAAUUUUUUACCCAAUUUUUUAUUCGGGGAGGGGACGGGGAUGAGGUGGAAUCCCCAUCCCCUACCCAUUUCCCCAUUUUAAUUUUUAUUUUUUAUUUUUAAAAUUACUAAUAAAUAUAUAACAAAAUUAUAAAUAUUGGCAAGAUAUGAGUGGAAUUUUGGGUGUGACAUGUAUAUUUGAUCCAAGGUAUAAAAAGAAGUUCAUUGAAUAAUACUUUUCUUUUUAUUUUUAAAAUUACUAAUAAAUAAAUAACAAAAUUAUAAAUAUUGUUAAAAAUAAUAAAUAUCAAAAUAGUUGUAUGUUGGGAAAGUGGUCACCCCUUACCAGGAAUUAGUGGAAGAGUAUCAAUUGAAGUUUUCACCAAUUGUUUAUUGCUUUGAUUAUACUGGUUGUAGUUCUUCUAUUAGAUCUACAGGGGAUUCUUAUAAGAAAGCAACCAAAUGGAUGACAUGUUUUGAUGAUUAUGUAAACAAUGGAGAUUGUGCAGUUGUUGCAGAUGAAUUAGAUUCAUAUUUGGAUGAAAAAGUUAUACCCCGGAUGGAAGAUUUUAAUAUUUUGAGUUGGUGGAAGACAAAUGCUAAUAGGUAUCCUACAUUAGCUCGAAUUGCUACAGGACGAGCAGGAGGUAAAUAGUUUUAUUAAAAAUAUUAAUUAAGUAUCUACAUUUAUUUCAUUUAUUUUAUUGCCGAUGUAAAAAAUAUUUUUUUUUUCUUUUUAUUGUAGGAUUAUGAAGAUUGAGACAUUGAUAAAGAUAAUUAUUUUAAUAAUUUAUAUUUUGAAUGUGACUUUGUAAUGGAUCAAUAUUAAUGUAAGAUAUAUUUUAAACUUUAUUUUUAUCUGAAUUUUUUAUUUUAAUAUGAUUAAUUUAAAAUCAAAAAUAAAAAAAUGUAUUAGACUAUUAAUUAUUCGGAGACCGGGGACCCUCGGGGAUCCCCUGUUAUUAUUCGGGGAGGGGAUGGGGAUUCUCUCAAGCAAUUCUAACGGGGACGGGGAGGGGACGGGGACAUACGCAAAAUAUCGGGGAUGGGUAUGGGGAGAUUAGUCCCCUCCCCUCUCCUCCCCAUUGCCAUCCCUAGAUUUUUGCCAUCCCUAUCGAAACCUCUACCCACCACUAUUAGAGUUAAAAAAAUCUCUGAUAUGAGUGUAUUCUUCUAAUUUGAACUCUAACGUGAUUUUUUGAGAGAUUCAUUGGAAAAAAACCUUAAGGAGUUAAAGAAGAAAUUUAAAAAAAAAAUCAUAAAAAGAGGAAUGAAAAGAAAAAGAUGCUUUACCAAGAGUUGAUUGACAGUAAUUGGUAAAUUUGAGCAUGCAAUAAAAUUUACCCAUAUAUUCAUAUGACAUAAAAUAUAAUUUUAUUCAUUAAUUACACUACUAAUUUGUCUAAAUUUUAGUUUUUAAAAAAAUAAAUUUCUAUAUAUUUACAUAAAUCUUAGUUUUUAUAAAAAUAAAUUGAAAAAUAAAUUUAUGUUUUUAUAAAAAUAAAUUUAUGUUUAUUUUUUUACAUUGACCUGAAGAAAAGACUAGUACUACUAAGCUGCUGUACGGCCAAGGCGGAUGUACGGUACAGCAGCAAUUUGACUGUUUGGGGGUGGGGUUGAUGGCUUACAUCAAAGUUAGUGUGUGCUAAGGAUUAACAAUAAUAAUGGGGUAAAUAUGAAAUUAAUCCUUGCCCAAGCAUUAGAAGUUCGUCGGUUUUCUUUUAACCGGAUAAUUACCGGUGAAUAUGUCACGCGUUCCUACACGUGGCAGCAUCUAAUUUAUUCGCUUGUCAUUUCAGUUUCUGUUAGUUACAGUUUCUGUAACGUAGCUAGCUCCGUCAGGUACAGGCAUGUUGUAACUUACGUUUCUCGUAAAAAUCAUAUAAGUUCUAUUUCUACCGCUAGGGUGAGCAUGGGUUGAUUUGGAUUAAAUUUUAAGUUAAUUUAAAUUAAAUUAUAAAAAUUUGGGUGUAAUCUAAAUUAAUUUAAAUAUUUUUAACAUAACUCAUGGGUUGGUUAAAUCAAACUAUAAAAAUUUGGUCCAACUCAAAUUAACUCAAAUAUUUUCAACACAACCCAAAGCAACUCAGUUGGAUUUUAUUAAAAUUAUAAUAAUUAUUAAUUGUUUUUAAACCAACCAUUUUGAGUUUGGUUUGGAUUUUAUUAUCAAAAUAUAUUUUUUAUUUUGAGAAAUUUAAUUUUAUCAAAAUUAUAAUAAUUAUUAAUUGUUAUUACUUAUUAAAUUGAUAAUAACAUAUAAAAAUUAUAAUUCAUAAAAAUUAUAAAUAACAAAUUUUACAAUAACUUAAUCCUUAAAUUAAAGAAUACUAGAAAAUUAAAAUAAAGUUUAAUCACAAAAAUCAUUAUUUAUCAAUAAAUAAGAAAAUUCUAAUAAAAAACUUCUACAAGCACGAUAUCGACAAGUAAAUUCAAAGAAAGAAAGAAAGAAAGAAAAGACUAGUACUACUAAGUAUUAACCCUAUUACAACACAAACUCUAACAAUGUCCAUACAAAUAAAAAAAAAUAAGACAUUCUAACUCAAGUGUCAAAGCAAUCCAUCAUAAUCAUUUCCAUCCGUAGUACUUUAAUCGAGAGAUUCCACGAUUAACUGACAAAAUGUAUGACAAUGAUAAUUUACAUUGAUUAUGACAUAAUAGAGAUGGAUUUGUCAAAGCCAAAUCAUUUGCUGGAAAGGAAUUUAGUUGAAGUAGGAACCAAAAUUCAACUUAGAUGGAUCUAUAAAAUUGGUCAUUCAAUACAUAAGUACUUUAUCAACAGAUUCAACACAUUAUAAAUUUAUGGAUUCAACUAAGUUACAACCAGCUGCAACUUAUUCCUCUCACAUAAACAAUAAUACAGCGGUAGGCUAUAUUAUUUACAAAAAGUACUUAUGUAUUGAAUGACCAAUUUUAUUACCUGCAAAAUUAAUUAAUCUUUCACUCUAUCAUCUAACUAAUGGAAGGCAAUCUUAUUUUAGGUUGUAAUGAUUAGAAACUAGCAGGAAGUGGGGGCGAUGCUCCAUAUUAAUUUGGAUAAAUCCCUUUCUAGUGAAGAAGUUAAAAUUAUAAAAUAGAGAUCAAGAUAGAAAUUUAAAGGCCCCGAUUGUUUUUUACAGACUUAAAAAUGAUAUUGAAAAAUUAAAAGCUAAUUUUAGUAUUUAAAAAUUACUUUAAGAAAAAUCACCCUAUCUUCCUGUAAAUUUUGAAAAGCAUGAAAAGAGCAGUUUUUCAAAAAUUGAUUUCGAAAAUUAGUUUCAUACUUAAUACAAUUCCAUAUAUCCUAACAUUUAUUAUAAAAAUUCAAAUUAUCCUUAUUAAAUUAGGAAAUAAAGUCAGUACAUUUAAAUAAGAGUGAUGAUAUAGACACAAACUCUUGUACCAACUGACGUAGCAUUAAUUUAUUAGUUGAAUGAAAAUAUAAAAUAAUAUAAAUAAAUCAUGUGGGCCAAGAAAUAUUUAAUUUAACCAAUUUUAUCAUGUCACAUUAUAAGCAACUUAUAAACUCAUUGGAUUCGACUCUUUACUAAAAUAAAAAUAAAUUAAUAUAUAUAUAUAUAUAUAUAUAUAUUUACAUACAUAAAAUGUGAUUAUAUACACAUAUUUAUAAUUGAAUAUGUACAUAAAUUCUGUAGAUUUAUGUCUAUCUAUACAUUUGCAUUCUUACCACAUUUUAAAAGUGUGAUUUACCAAAUACAUGGGACUUAUUUGAAAUUUAUAGCACUUUUAUAAAUAAAAUUUAUCAAACGUUAAACAGAUUCUCUAUUUUCGCGUAUAUAUCCUCAUGUAAAUUAUAAAAAUUCAAAAUUAUCUUUAUUCAAUUAGGAAAUUAAAUCAUUAUUUUUAAAGAGAUUCUUAUUAUUACUAAUUAGAUUCAAAUAACCAAAAAAAUACAAUCAAUAAAAUAAAAAUAUUUAUUUUAGUUAUCAUUUAUUAUAUACACAUAUUUAUAAAUGCAUGUGUAAAUAAAAUUUUAUAGAUUUAUGUCUAUUUAAGUUAUUUGCAUUCUUACAACAUUUAAAAAAUGAGAUUUACUAAACACAUGUGAUUGUUUUUAAAAAAGUUACAACACUUUUAAAAAUAAAAUUUAACAAAUGUUUAAUUGACUCUCUCCAAAGGUAAUUGUUUUUACAGUAUAGCUAAAGUAAUUUAUAAAUUUAUGAUAAGUAUUUGUGAAUAUUGGUCUAUGUAAAGAAGUAAAAACAACAUAUAUAUUAAGCAGCAUGAUAUUAAAACUCUUAGUAAAAUACAUAUACUAAUAAAAGAAAGACAACAAUGCAAUAAAUAAGCUUAUAAUAUAAAUUAUUAAAAUUGUAUAUUAAAAAAUUAUGCAUGAAAUUCUUUUUCUAUUUUGGUGAUAGAGAAUGCGAUAUAAUUGAAUUAUUUGAUUUAAUAAAAAAAAAAUAUGACUGUGAAGGAAAUUAACAAUUGAAUUGUGGAAUGUUAUUAAUUGUUAUUGUAUCAUUUUGCAACGUUCUAAUAAUAUGGACAAUGUUACAGUAUAUUGAUGGGCGGUAAUAUUUUCACCUCUUAAAUUGUGUAAAGUCAGCUCCAUUUAAAAAAAUUAUAUAUAAAAAGCCCAUUAGUUUUAAUAGUUUCAAAUUAAGAUUAAAUGCAAAUAAUUAACCAAUUAAAUCCUUAUUAAUAAGAUCAUUGAGCUUUAAUUAAACUAAUAAAAUGCAUUUGAUAAAUGAAAUUUACGAUAUUUAAUUACAUGAAAUUUAUUGACUACAUGAAUAAUAUAAUUGUUCAGCUGUUUAAACUUUUUCCCUAUUUAAAUUUUAAAAAACAAUGUGAAAUUUUGUAAAUAGUUCUUUGAAAUGGGGUGGAUUUACACCAUUUGUGCAGUGCAAAUAUCCUAAUUCUAACAUUUUUUUUAAAAAAAAAGACCAAAUCAUAACAUUUUUUGUAUACUAAGUUAAAGUAGUACUAACAUUAUAGCCCCCUAAUGAUUUCAAUUCAUUCAAUGAAUAUAUAAUUUAAGCAUGUUAUAAACUAAGUCUCUAAAUCGAAUUAAAAAAAGAAAAAAGAGCUUAAUUGCUGACAUAGUUGAAAAUAAAAUAAAAAAUUUUAUUAUUAGAUGAAAAAUUAUGAAACUUAAGGGGUAUAAGCGAGUCGGCAGCUGCUCACCAGGGCAUAUGUAAUAUUUGUUAAUACAUUUCAAAAUUUUAGGUUUUUUAAUAAUAUUUUCAAUACAUUUUCUAGAAGGUUUAGAAAAAAAAAAUGACUCAAUACUUUAAUCGAGCUAUGAAUAAACUCAUGUGUUAAAAAAUUUCAUAUUUACACCCAAUAAGAUUAAUUAAUGGGUGAUACAAAUUUAAGAUAGUUAAUAAUAAUAUAUAUCAUCUUAAGUUAACUUCAACUCAUUAACCUUGUAUAAGGUUUGAUGGGUCGUGCCGCAAAUUAUCACCUCUAAUCCUUUUUGCAACAGGCAUGAUGAAUGCUAACAAAAUGAAACUUCUAUAUAUUUAGUUGUUAUUCUUUUUAAUGAAAUAAUAAGGAGCUUUGCUGCAAAUUUCCAUCCAGCAUGGCAUGGACGCACGUGAAAUUUGCUAGUAUGGUCCUGGACAUGCGUGGCUGAGAUGCUUCUAAAGGCAAAGAAUUCCAAGUUCAUACCAAAUAUAACUUUCUGAUAUUUUUGUGGUAUCAAGUUUGUUUUUCACAAACUAAGGUGUCGGCGUAAAGUUGUUGUCCAUGCAAUGAAGUUUUAUACAUAAAUAUAUUAACCUAAAUUGUUACUAAAGUUCCAUAAUUAGCAGUUCCUGAGAGUUUUUACUAUAUAUUUUUUUGUUUUAAUUCAACAUAUGUUUAUUUAAUACGAUUUUAUUAAAUAAAUGUGCAUAUUUACCAUAUUUGUCUACGAUCAAUUAGUUGGAAAAAAAAAAGAAAAUUAAUAAAUUUAUUUAUUUGAUUGUUAAUGGUUUAGGCAUUUGAAUUCCCACAAAGUCAGGGUGUCAGCUCUGGACUUCUGGUGAUGUAUUUUUCUAAUAAAGAAAUAAAAUAUUGUUGUCAUUUUUUUAAUAUUCUAAUUUACCAAGCCUACCAACCAAUUAAUUUUUCUAAUUAGAUCAUUAAUUCAUUACACGUGCAUUCGCUGGCCCAGUGCUCCAAUCCCAUGCAUGCUGCACAACUCAAUGUGUUUUAAUAAGAAAAGGUUUGGUUAGCCUGUGCUGAUGCCAGAAGCCCCUUAAGGAGUUCAGGUAAACGUAAAUAUGUCCAGAUUUAGAUUUGAAUAUGUAAACGUAAAUAGGUCCAGAUUCAGAUUCGUUGCGCUAGAGAGGGGCACGCACGAUCGGGCUGCUGUCAGGUGGUACGUUGGCGUGGCAAUUCUCAACACGCGCUUCUCCUGGUGCAUACUUACGGCAAGUUGACACGUGACCCGUGUGGAUUGAGUGGACAGAGUCACGGGCACUGAUUUUUGUCAUCCAUAACGACUAACGUCGGAGACUUCGAGAAGAAAGAAAUUGUUGUCGUUUCUAAGGGGAAAAAAAUAUUUAAUUUGUUGAAGACAAAUUAACGUCGGAGAUUUUUUUUAUUUUUUAUUUUUAAUUUUGCAAUCUAAACCAGUCUAAUCAAAAUGUCAAUUUGACAAAAGUUGGACUGAUUUAGAUUAGUUCUAUUAGUUUGAUUGGAUUAAAUUGAAUUAGAUCUUGAACAUCCUAACACUUUUCAUGAAUGUUUUCCUUUUUUUUUGAAAAAAAUUAAUAAGGAGAAUUCCCAUGAAUGUUAAUUUUAUUGAUAAACUUGGCAAUUUUAAGAAAUGUUUUGACGCACGAAUAAUGCAAUUCAUCAACCCACAUAGAUAUGGAUAUAGGAAGCAGAGACCAGAUCGAUCUUGACAUAACGAAAACUUGUAUGUGUAUAUGUAUGUUACAGACCAGAUCGAUCUGUAGCAUAGACUUCUCCUAUAUGUAGGUUAUAUUCAAAUUACAAAAUGAACACAUGUUAAGGAUCUACAACUUCUUCUUUAAUCUAAUAAGCUCCCUCAACUUUAUUCCAAAACAAAAAAGAAUCAAAUUUUUGUUGGAAAUAUUUAUGAAUGAAGAAGCAAAAAGCGCUUGUAUCAAGGAUCUAAUUAAAGAACUGCCAGAGGCAUAGAUCUAUCAAAGCUCCCUCGCAUGACUCUUGGUCUCGGUGGCUUCUUCUUCUUCAUUCCGAAUUUUCCCUCCAUCUGAUCUCUUCCAACCUUUCCAUUUCCAAAUUGAAUUGAAACUUGCCUCAUAUUCGUUUGUUGAAUCCCAUCUUUUGUUGCACCACCAUGCAUCAAAAUCCUUGAAAUCCCAGCAUAAUGCAAGGACUCAGCUAUUUGCAAUGGGGUCACGUUCUUACUUGUCCUUGCCUCAACAUCAGCUCCCUUCUUCACAAGCAAUUCAGUCACAUCUGUGUGGCCAGAUUCCACCGCACAAUGCAAAGCUGUGUACCCAUCUUCAUCUUUAGCAUCAACAUCAAUCCCUUUAUCAAUCAGAAUCCUCACAACCUCAAUCUUUCCCUUAAACGAAGCCCUAUGCAAAGCAGUCCAUCCAUGUAGGUCUUUCCCAUUGAUCGCGGCGCCUGCUUCGAUCAACCUCUGCAUUGUCCUCACUUCCCCUUUCCUAGCGGCAAUACACAGGCUGUCACCAAGCUUCAACGCGUCAAAGAGACGGGAGUGACCGCACUCAGCAGCAACAUCAUAAGCGGUCUUUCCGCUCUUGUUUCUAAUAUAUUUAUUAGCACCCUUCUGCAAUAACAGCUUCACCAUUUGCUCAUAUCCCAAGCUUGCGGCGAUAUGCAAAGGCGUGUCACCGUCUCUAGCGUUGCGUAUAUCAGGCCUUGCUCCGUUUGCUAACAGAAGUCUCGCGCAAUCUCUUCUUCUGUCUUCAACCGCGAGAUGCAGAGCUGUGUUACCAUCUUUUGUUAAAGCAUUGACAUUAGCACCUUUGAUUAAGAGAAGCUUUAGUACUUCCAAAUGGCCGCCUCGUAAGGCCAAGUGUAUGGGCCCCCAUGUUGAUGUUCCUGAUCUUUCUGUGCUGGCUUUCCUCGCCAACAAGAGCUCAACAAUAAGUGCUUCCCCUGCAGCCGCCGCGGCUUCAAGUGGAGUACUGCAGCCACACCUGCCUUGAGACUCAACAUCCGGCCCAAACUCAAGCAAAAGUUGAACAAUAUCAGGCCUCCUUUGAGCUAUAGCAAUAUGAAGCAACGUUUGUCCCUGCGCAUCGGCAGAAUCAGCCGGGUUCCAAGCCGGGUCACUCCGCUCAAGAACCUCUCUUAAAUCAUCCAUUUCACCAUCCUUAACAAGCAGAACCAAAACAGGAGACCCAACGAACAUGAUCUUGAUUCCGCUGUCGAUGAACACUUGCUUCUUCCUCGUUGUGAACCAGUCACUGGGGACGGAAUCAAGCGUCGACGUUGCAUCUUUAAUUCCAGCUCCAGGAACAACAACGCUGUGCAAGAGGAAGGAAUCAUCACAGUGAGGGAAAGAAUCAGGAAGAACCGAUCCUGGAGGGAGAUGAUACGCAAUCUCUACGCUUAGUGUUGCGAGUGGUGAUAUGAUUCCUGAUUGCGGCUUCACAGUAUAACGAGCCUUGUUUGUAGGCUGAAUCCUGAAAGCAACAGGCAUCGUGUGCAUGACAUUGCGGAGAGUCAGCUCCCCGGAACAUUUCUGCCCUGGUUCAAUUCUGAUAGCUACAAGGUUCGACGGCUCCAAGCUUACAAGCCUAUCCAUUGAUUAAUUUUCUCUCCGUUUCCCAAGGACUGCUGAAAGGGGUUCUUUGAACUUUUUGAUUCAGGCUUAUUUUCUUCACUUUUGGUGGCAUGGGGAGGAAUUAGAGGAGUAACUGUAAGAGCUGCAAGUGUUGGUGUAAUCAACUGUAAUAUAAGGAGAAGAGAGGGCCGGCUCUAAUGGGAGACUGCCACGUGGUGGUGUUAAAAACAAUGAGACUUGUUCUGUUCGGCGUCCGGAGUGUAUAUACAGUUGUGUUAGUGGUGAAAGUUAAAGAAAUCCUGAAGUUAUUUUCGGAGUGGCUUCUGCAAAGUCACUUUCAGGAUUGUAUUGUAUCAUUAAAAAACAAAGCCAGUUUUUGUUGUUCUAGUAAAAGGCGAAUCAUUGGACAAACUCGUAAGAAUAUGUUGCCAAAUGUAUAAAAUAUGAAAUUCAAACAAUGAUUACAAUGUGAAAUUGGACAAUGGACAUGGCCUGUGUGAAUUGUUUUGUGGGCUUACUAAUUAAAUUAAUUCACUAAAAAUAAUGUCACUUUUGUGUCUGUGAAGAAGCCGAAAUGGCACAGUCAUUUACGUGGCCAACUACGGUGACUACUUCGUCAGUAGCUGCUCGAGCACUUGGUCAGCACAAGUUGCUUUCUUUCUUGGCGGGAUUAGUUUUUCUUCAUUGCUUUAAGUGGUGCAUUUCUGCAGUUUCAUUUUGCUUUGCUUAUGCCAUUGGAUUUGUGCCCCAUAAAUAAAUAUAUAAUUAAGCGGAAAAGUAUCAAAUUUUGAAAAAGCUUAGGUUUUGUGUGUGUGUGUGUGUGUGUGUGUGUGUGUGUUUUAAGCCGAAUUACUCGGCUAAAAAUUAAUCCGAUUAUUAUUGUUUUGGUGCUUAAGAUGUGACUCUAACCUAAAGCUCAUUUGAACUCUCUUGAUGCUCAUAUGGUAUUUUUUGUGUUGUGUCGUGCUGGCCCUUACACAUCUCGGCUCAUAUUUUUCAUGUUACUAAGUUCUAAUAUGUACAAAAGAAAUAGAGCAAUGUCCGGUGGUAGAUCCAAACACUCAAUUUGGGGUGCUUAUUUUUCAGUCUCAAAUUCGAUUAUUUUCUUUUAAAAUAUUAAAAUAAUAGUAAUAAAAUACUUAUUUUAAAUACUGAGCUCAUUACAACCACAUAUGUAAAAGUAUCAUUUAUAUUUUUUUUCUAAAUAAUCUUCACAAAAUAUUUUAAAAAAUAAAAUUAUGUGACUAUGGGGAUUUGAACCAAGUCUCUCAAACUACUAAAUAACACUUUUACCACUAAAUUACAAAUCUUUUAACAUAUUAAAAGUGCAUCCAAAUUAUUAUUAUUAUUUAAUUAUUUCAUAAGAGAUUUGGGGCACAUUUAAAAGAAAAAAAAUUAAUGGUGCAUAAAGGACUAAAGCCUCUCUUGAGUCCUUGACCUUAACUAGGUCCACCCAUGGUAAUGUCAGUGAUACCCAACUUGAAAAAUAUACAAGAAACUUGGAAAUUUAAAUUAAUGAAUAAAUAAAUAAAUAAAAGGAAACUUAGUGAUUGUAGCUGUUGUAUUGUAUUGUGGAUCAAAGAAUUACAAGUUCUUGGUUUCUCGGUAUUGGCUAAUUUUGAAGUUAAAUGAAGUUCGAAAAUAUUUACAAGCAAUAAAAUUAUCAACUGAAUGAGACAAGGAAAGAGUAUAAAGACCUUAGCAAAUUAGCAAUCCUUCUUUAAUUUAGUAACAGUGACGCUUAUAAAGUUAGAAGACGUAUCAAAUCUAAUUUAGAUUUUGCCCCAUAAAACUAACUUAACUUAUAGUGCGUCUUUGUUUAAUUAGUAAAUAUUCCACAAAAACUGAUCAGCACUUUAUAGGAAAUUCCAAACACGUUUAUAUUCACAAGGAAUAUGUCAAGGAGAAAUGAGAAUAAAAAAAUGUAAAAACUAAUAAAGCUUCAUUAAUUAGAAUUUAUAACCAUAUGUGCUCCUAUACUACUUUUAUUAUUAAGAAUUUGAAGUAGAAGGUAGUUGAUUAUCAUGAAAUUACAAAAUUGUAAACGGAUUUGUUCUUUUGGAAAAAGAAAAAAAAAAAAAAAGGAAGGAUAGUUGAUUACUUGAUUAGUGAGAAAUCAUACGUAUAAAGGACAAAUUGAAAAAUGGGACCUGAAUUGCAACAAAGCUUCAUUGGAAUUAACUGCCGAUAAAAUUAAAUUAGUAUCACCCUACCCUUUCAUCUUAAUAUAUUCGAAAUUUCACCGAUCAAAGUUUCUAGCUUCGAUUUUUACGAUCUCUCAUCCUAAUAACACCAAAAGCAUAUUCAUUCGUUUGUAAGAUUAUGUAACAAAAUAUAGUAAAUAGCCUAUAAUUUUUUUGUUUUACUACUAACCUGUUAUCAUUCUUUUCUAAUAAUACAUGUUAAAAUAUUCACAGAAAAAAUUUAUCCCUAUUACACCCAACCACCUUUUUUUGUGUUUUUUUUGUUCAAAUUUUAGCAUUAAAGGGACAAUAAUGUCCUAUGAAAUAUGCAGAAAGACAGUUAAUAAUAUUCAAAAAUGUAAGUGGAGGUAUCUUACGCCACACACACAAAUUACACGACUCUCAUUAAUGUGUUGUUGUUGUUAUGUGUGGCGUAAGUUACAGUUGAAUGUCAUAUUCAAAAAAGUAAGUGGAGGUAUCAAUCUCCCUAAAUAAAUAAUUUAUGGAAGGUUGUUAGCUGUUGUACUUUUAGUUAAUUUUAAAAUCACAAUAAUAUGGUUAAUGUUAAGUUACAUGCAUGUAACUUAGGAGGAUCCCAAUAAUAUACCAUAUUUUAUUAAUAUGUACAGUAUUUAUAAUAUUUAAAAAUUAAGGAAUUAAUGUACGCAUGUAAAAGCUGCAUUGGAGCCAGUUGGAAAUCUUACUGUCUUGAUAUAUGCAACGAUUGUAGCAGCUAAAAAGGCAUGAUAUUUACUUAAUAUUAUUUCAAACAAUAAUUAUUUAUUUAAAGCAAAUAAUAAUAAUGAGGGCAGAAGGACUAUUCUAGGAUCAAUAUGGUGACAGUAUAAAUAAAUAAUAUUAAUUAUUAAUGCAUUGAUGAGUAUUGUUAAAAUGACAUAAUAGGUUUGUUUCAUUGAAUUGAACCUUUUCUCUUAAAAUAGCUAUAAUUUGUUCUCUCUCUCUCUGUGUUUUUGUUUUUGUUUUUCACUUUAGUUUUACUUCUCUUAAAAAACCAAAAAAAAAAAAACAAAAUUAAUGGAAACUGAUGAUGGGAAGACGGACAAUUUUCUAUAUUGUUAAAUAGAAAUGGGCACAAAUGUGAGUUUUUUGGGGCAAAAAAAUAUAGUCAAUGUACGUAGCGUUUGUCUAUUUGAAAACCCGUCAAUAUAAAAACAGGACGUAAAGCUUUCAGACAAAGUACUCUUAUGGCCGUACUUUCCAUAAACCAAAUCAAAAGAAGGAAAAUAUUUGUGUCUGGCUUCGAUGCGACUGUUAACAUUCACAAAUAAACACCUUUGCAUGGUCAGAAAAAUUAACAAGAAAUUAGAAGGCGAUGUUGCGUUCUACUUAGUUCUCUAGGAUUUGUGUCAUUUGUUUAUGCUACGGUUCGUUCCCAUUUGCAUUGCGUGGAAUAAUUGGCCGAAUAUUAUUAAUCUCAAUCUUAAUCUCUCAACUCUUGUCCCUUUAAUUUUUGUUUGUAUCUUUUUCUUUUUUUUUUUAAAUAUCACAUACAAUGCUUUUAAUAAAUAACUUCAUAGAAAUAUUUAAUAAAAUCCAACAUAUAUAAGUUCAAGAAACUCAAAAAAUAAAAGAAAAUAAACUCACGUUGUCACUGGAGAGACUCAAACAUGCUACCUUAAAAUUAAGUAGAGGGUGCAACUACUUGCACUUUAAAAAAAGAAAAGAAAAAAAAAGGGGCUUUGAACGCUCGUGAUAAUUUGCAAGUUAUGGAGGAUAAUCAUUGUACAAUGGGGAGAACUCUUAUGGAACAAUAUUCAAACUGAUAUUGAAAGCAUAUAAGAAUUUGGCUUGGGUGUUUUGGUGCCAUGAAUGAGUGCAGAAACAAAGAGGAAGCUUUGUCCCUUUAAUUUGAUCUGCUGUAUUAUAAUUAUUGAGAUUAAUCAAAUAAAUAACCGAAACAUGGUUACAGUUUUAUAGUGUAUUGCAAGUCUUUGGAGAUACUAUGUACCUCAAAAAAAAAUAUCGUAUAAAAGAGUGUUUUGUUUCACAGGGGUUCAAUGAGAUUUGAGAUGGCUGUAAUGAAAGUGAUGUAAAUUUUUUGGACUCUAAUGAGGUGUUUUUAGAUGGAGGGGGAUUUACAAGUAUUUUAUAGGGGUGAUAAAUGACUGUAUACCCACCAAAAAGGCCCAUUGUUCGAGUCCAUGAGCAUUACAGUUUUUUUUUUUUUUUUUUUUGAAAUUCAGAACAUGCAGUUUGUUUGAUUCAACUUCCGAAUUACAAAAUUAGAAUAAGAAAAAAAAAUGUGGAUGUUUUUUCUUUAAUUUACAUAAUAAUACAUGGUGUGGACGAUGUCUAUUGAGGGAUAAAAGAGGAAUGGGGGCACUGUGAAGUUUGUGUUUUUGUUUUUUUUAAAUUAUCAUAUUCAUACUGUCUAUAAAAAUAUGCAAGUUAAAAAAUUACUCAUGAUAUUGUUGUUUUUGUUUCAUAUAAUACUACUUAUGCACAUCGCCUCAUGCAAACAUUUCUUAGUUAUGCUUAAAAAAAUGAGAUUCUCACCAUGGGUCACUGUAAAAAUCCACAGAAGCCGUGGAUCACAGUAGGAAGCCCACUUGAACAGAAGAAGCUACCGAAAGCUUCGACAUUGUAUUUAUGAAAUGCUUAGUAAAUUUUGUUUUAUUUUGAAUUUAUAUUAUAAAUGGUGUGUUGCUAAAUUAAAAAAUAAAAAAGAAAUGCAAUGUGUCAAAAUACAAGAAUCUUACGGACAUUUUUGUCACAAUAUAUGUAAAUAAUUCAUAUCUUAUUCAUAUCCUAUGUAAGCUUCACUUGUUUAACACAAUGGUGGUUGAAUCUUCAAAAAUUCAUAAUCUUAAACAACCAAAUUUGGAAUUAAUUAAGCAAAUUGCCUCUAUAAAUUGAUUACAACAACCAACGACGUGUGAAGCCACAUGUCAAUUUCCCUAGACAGCCCAAAUAUUGAGGCGCUGUGAGGGAGCAAGGUGCAAUCGGAUGGGGGAAAGAGAGAGAGCCAAUGGUGAGAAUGGAUCGUGGUGAGGGAGAACCAACUGGUGGUGAGAUUUGUGGCUUCAAUGAGGUGAGUUUCGUGGCGCUGUGAGUGAAGUGAGAUUUGGCAUGAGUGUGAGGGAGAAUGCGUGUGUUGUGUGAGUGAGGUAAGCUGUGUCUGUUGUGUGCAUGGAGACUCUCACCACAAUUAGAAUUUAUAGUUAGCACAGAACGAAACACAAUAUUCUACGCUAACUGUGGAGUUAACCAUGGUGAGAAUAUCAUUAUUGUUUAUUAUAACACUUUUUUUUUUAAUUUGUUUUGACAAUAAAAUAAAGAACCUUGUAAGAAAACCUCAAUAACUCAAUUAAAAAACCAACUCAACCGAUGAUAGGUAAAUUGAGAAAUUUUCAACUAAAAAUUAUUAAGAUUGGUUUUAACUUCAAAUCAUAGUCACAUAGUUUUGUCCUUAUAAAGAUCAAAAUAAUGAAUUCUAACUCCGAAGUUUUUAGAUUUAUGUGACGAACUGACGAUAGUAUAUUGAAAUCGAUUGAAAUGAAAAAUUUAAUUAAAUGCAAUUCAAGAUGUAGUAUCAAAUUCAAACGAUUCGGAUUGUUUUAAAAAUUUCAAUGCUUUAAUCUAAAUCGAUUAAUCAAUUACACUCUUGCAAUUAUAUACCGUUAAAACUAAAAUAUGUAAAAUUUAGGGUGCAUUUAUUACCAUUUUCAAUUUGUUGUUUUUCGUUUUAUGAAAAGGAAAAUACAGAAAACUUGUUUGGUGAGCUCAUAUUGGUGGAAAACUGUACAGUGAUUAAAAACAAAAAAAAAUUCAUUUUUCAAUGUUUACAAAGGAAACAAGAAAACGCUAUUACACUGGGUUCUCUAUUUUAUUUCACUUUUACUCUCUGCCAAGGCCCUACCAUCUUAACUUUUAUAACAUGGUGUAAUAAAUUACGUGGGCCCAUUUAAUAAAGAAAUAAUCUAAUAAAUAAAUUAUUAUAACAAAUAUUUAAAAAUAAUAGCAUUCCAUACCUUACAGCUUAAUUACUUAAUAUAUUACCCAAAUUAUUUUAAAUAAAAAGUGAUAUCAUAUAAUUAUUAUACUAAAUUAUUACAUUGUUCGACCAAUAUGCAGUUAUUUAAAAAUUACUACAAACUUUCUUACAUAUAUUAAUGAAAAUAUAUCAAUAAUAAAGUUACAUCUUGACAGUUAAUAUAAAUAAAUAUAUGAUAAUUAUGAAAUAAUUAAAGAUUUUCUCAAUUAAUAUUAUCUUAUAACUACAAUUUAUUUACAUAAUUAAAAGUUUUUAAGAAAUUAUUAAAAUAUCUUCAAACCUAUAUGCAUUUAUAAUAAUAUAUAAUACAUCAUAAUAUAAUAACUAAAUAGAUAAAUUAUUUAUUAAUAUAAAAUAUAUGUUUAUAUUCAUUAUAUAAUAUUAUUCUUUCAUAGUAGUUUCAUUAAAUAAUUCUCUACUCUCUCUCUUUUUAUCUUUAUUUUUUCGGACAGACAAGUAACCAAACACCGCUUCACCUUUUUUUUAUUUUCAAAUACUAUUCUUAAAAUAAACUACCAAACAUAUUUUUAUUUUUAACAAAAACUAAUCAUUUUUAUUUUAUAAAACAAAUUGAAAAGUACUAUUUAAAAUAUAAUACCAAACUUACCCUUAAUAAUUUUAUAUUUGUCAAAAAGAUGAGAAGCUAAGUGGCACUAUCGUUUACCUAUUCAAACUAAACGUGGAGUCACAAUAUUGAAGACACUUUGGUGGCCACAACACUCUUUUCUUUAGUACGGAACAAUCUGGCUUACAUGACACUACAUAAAAAUAAAUAAUAAAAAAUCACCGAUUCCAACUGCCCCGGACAAAAAACAGGCCACACGUAAAAAGGCUUCUAUUUUUAUUUUUAUUUCUCCCCAUUUUAAAGAUGACGUCAUGGUGAUUAUGAAACCAGAAAAUAACAAAUUUUAGUUGUCUGAUUUUGUAGUUAUCCAGCGAAAACUAAAAAAACAGUGAACGCAGCAGCAGAUCUCCGUGUUUGUCGUCGUUCGAUGAGAGAUUCCGAUUCGUGAGCAUCGCAAGUGUUGAAAUGGAAUCAGACGAAAUGAGGAGUUAGCCUCUUAUUAUAUAAUAAUAAUAAUGAUAAUAAUAAUAAUAACUAAUCUCUUUUAUCAUAUAAUUGAUAAUGGAAAUUCACAUUGACAAAAGGCAAAUUACACACUGACUGGGCAGAAUAAAAAACAGUCUCUCUCAAAAGCAAUAAUUUAAACACUAACACCACCUUAAGGAGACACCCCAAAAAUAAAGCAGCAAGCUCUUACUGUGACCACACACACACACACACACCAAACUUUUAUUAUAGAAUAAAUCUAAGAUGAUGGAUGAUGGAUGCGUCACAUAAAAGUUAAUUAAUUUAAUCGCUGUCACUGCUGCUGCUGCUCUCGUGUCCGUCCUCGUGCUUCUUCUUCUUCUCCUUCUUUUUCUUCUUCUCUUCACCGUGGGCGGCGCCCUCGCCGCCGCCGACACCGGGGAUCUUCUGCUUGAUCUUGUCCACCAAGCCCUCCUUGUGUUCGCCCUCCUUGUGUUCCCCGCCGUGAUGCUGCUGCUGAUGGUGAACAUCAGUAGUGCCGACACCGGGGAUCUGCUGCUUGAUCUUGUCCACCAAGCCCUCCUUGUGUUCGCCGCCGUGAUACUGCUGCUGAUGGUGGACAUCAGUAGUGUGGUGGUCCCCACUAUGGUGCUCUCCCUUGUGCUUGUCCUCCUCCUUUUGCCCUCCUCCCAUGUGAAGGGCUUCUCCGAUCUUGUGAAUAACUCCUGACAUUUUCCCUUAAAAUGACUCUGUUCCUCUUCUUUUCUUUUCAAUGAAAAAUAGUUGUUUGCGAUCUUCUUCUGGUUGUUGUUGUUCUUGUUGGGUGAUCUUGGCUUGGUAUUUAUAGGCUCCAAAAGGAGGGACUAGAAUUAGGAUUAGAUUAUAGAUUAUUUUAAUACAUUUUAUGGCAAAUUCUGAUUUGGAAAGAUAAGAUUAUCCUUUUGGUUUUCCUUAUUUACCCUUUUGCACCCAUUACGUGUACGCGUCUUCGUGGGCUUUUUGGGUAUUUCAAUUAUAUCGCCAAUGCUAAAUCGACACGUUGCAUAUCAGCCGCGGUACUGCCGUAUGUAGUUGUCCAGAAAUCGAGUCGAUUCUCGAUCGUACAAUAAUUAAAUAAUAUUUCAUACGAAAUGAGUUUAGAUAUAUUUUGAAAAUUUAUUUUUAAUUUAAUUAUACGUGUUAUAUAUUUGUUAAUCGAAUAGAGGUCCCACGUAACAGAGUGUUUCUCUAAUCUUUCAUUGCUUUUAAUUAAUUUUACCCAAAUAAAAAAAAAAAGGAAAAUUUAGAGAGAGAGAGAGAGAUAGCGAAUUAGAAGUUGAUUGUAAUAUCGACACCUGUCAGACAAUCAAAUAUCGUUAGUUAAAAAUCAGUUGUCCAUAGUCAUGGUCAUAGAUGGCGAAAUUGAUACUUAUUUUAAAAAACAAAACAAAACAAAACGAAACGAAACUAAACUAACAGAUGUUGAAAUGCAGUUCCGUGUUAACAGUCUGUGAUGAAUCUUUAUCUUUGAGUAUACCAUUCAAGAAAUUAUCAUUCAAAAAUUUAUUUAAAGCAGCAGCAAAUCACCUUCUAAUUCCUGAAUCAAAUUAAUUCGAUUUUUUUCGAGUCGAUCAAUUCAUUAGAGAAUUAACGGGCUAAGUUAAAGUUUUGUUAGUUAUUUUUUUUUAUAUUCCUUUAGAUGAUAUGAUUGUCAUUGUCUUUCUUUCUCUGGGCAACAAUAAAUACAAGAUGUGCAAAAGCGUAGUGGAACAUAAUUCGAUUAUGGGUAAAGGGAUCAGUCCGCAUAAUGAGGAUAAAGUUUUUCUCUUUAAAAAAAUUUAACCCAAAGAAAAGGUCGUAGUUUGUAAUAGCCGACACGCAGAUAGAUCACAAAGCAUGGCGGUCCUGAUGGCAAUAACUAACUGAUAUCUUCUGCGAUGAGAGGAGAUCACGUGGUUCUGACACGUAUCGCCCCAUCAACUGAUGUUGUGGCUGCAAUCGCGGCCCAGUCUUUAGAGAGAAGAAAGAUCUGUUAUAACGGGACCUACUUUAGCAUCUAUUUACGACAAAGCCCCUAUUUACUCUACUUAGUAGUAAUAAUAGCAAGUGUCGGGCUUGGAUUCCGUGUUGCUUUAAAUAAAUAUCCGCGUAAAAAGAAAAUGCUUCUUUAAUCCCUUCCUUGUAAUUUUUCGACACGUGGAUGGUUGAAAUUAGCGUGCCGACAUCUUAGGAAUUUUAUCUUGGAGACGGGAACACUGCAGUAGGCAAUGCCAUUUUCUUCGGAUGGUGUGUGGUGACAACGCCUUGGAUUUUGACGUGCAAAGAAUUUAAAUUGAAAAAGAAAAAAAGAAAUUACCAGAAUAAGCAUAGAAGAGAUAUUUUUCUUUUUGUCCUUUUUGGAAUGGAAAAAGAGAUCAAGAGAUUGUUCCAGUAAGUAUUACACAUGUCACAGGCUUAUUCAUGCCCCAUUAUGGCAACUUUUAUGCCUCGCGGUGCCCUCGGUUCCAGCAUAAUAGCUAAGACUUCAAUUUUUCUAACAUAUUUUUGUUACAAAUAUGAACGGAGUAAAUGUAUAACUUUAAUCCUUUGAAUAAAGAAAUGGCGGUUCUCCUGCUCGUUAAUCUCACUUGAAUCCCACCCAGGCAAAAUUUCUUUAUUUUAUUUAACAACAAUUUAAAGAAAGAAACUUUUGCCAGGUUGAAUUUCAAGUGAGAUUCAUUCGUGGGAGAAGUGCCAUUUCUUUAUUCAAAAGAUUAUGGUAAUUACAACUUUCAAUUUCGACAUAAAUUAAAAUUAUAGGCUAUACAAUAAAAUUGCCCUAAAUUAGUCCUAAUCAAUUCAGAUUAUAAAUUUAGGUAUAUUUAUUAUUUUAAUAUAUUAAUGUUCUAUAUAUAUAUAUAUAUAUAUAUAUAUAUGUGUGUGUGUGUGUGUAUNNNNNNNNNNNNNNNNNNNNNNNNNNNNNNNNNNNNNNNNNNNNNNNNNNNNNNNNNNNNNNNNNNNNNNNNNNNNNNNNNNNNNNNNNNNNNNNNNNNNNNNNNNNNACAGCAGAAAAUAUUUGCUAUGGAUAAGGAGACAUGGUCCCACGUCCCACCGUCCCAAUGCAUAUUUUGUAUGUUUCCAUCUUUUCUGAAAUUUUAAUAAAUAAAGUUUUUUGACCACUUGGCCAAAGAACCUUACCCUUACACAACUUUGUGGUUGGAGUCCUGUGAUACAUGUAAGAACUUAUUUUUUUUCUUAAUUAUAAUAUUUUAGAAUAUAAUUAAGUGAAGUAGGUUUUUUUUUUAAAUAUGAGUAAAAUAGAUAUUUUUUAAAUAUUAAAGAGAGUAAAAUUUGAAUAAUAAUAUAUUAAAAUUAAUACAAACUAAUUUUAAUAAUUAUUUAAUUAUAAAUAUCAAUUAUAACAUCAUAUAAUAUCAAUUAUAAUAUCGUACAUCUCAAUUAAUUCAAUAAUAAUAAUAAUAAAUGUUUUUUGGGAUAAGUAAACAGUCGCAUGGCGACAAUAGUGGAUCUGGAUUAGAGUGAAGUGGUCCCAAGAGGCUGAGGCUGUGGCUGUGGAGUUCUAAAAGUCAAAAGCUCCACGCACUUUGUUUCAGUACCAUACACACUGAAAAAAUUUGCAUUUGCAAUGACGAAAACUUUUCACGAAAUCAAAACACCUCUAAACUAUUUUGUUAUCGAUAUUUAAUGGAGGGGUUUCCUACCUUUUUAACACUCGAUUCACGCCUUGACGCAUCUCACAGAAAACCUCAUGAUCCCAUUAAUCUUGCGUAACAUAUCUCAAAGCCAAUGCAAGUGAUCUUGUUGCCUACUUCCCUUUGACGAUUCAAAAUUGUUGAAAAUAAUUCUUUUUUUUUUUAACCUCAAGGAAGUGACAAAAUAUAAAAGAAUAUUUUCUACACAUUAAACAUCUAGAUUUUUUUUUCUUUUCUUUUUAGAGUACUUGCACAAACCGUUUCCAAGAGAGACCUUUUUUUUUUUUUUUUUUUUCCGGGCUUGGUUACUAAUUUGGUGUGAAUACUCUAUGGUGAAAAAGGAAUCACAAAGCUGUAAUCAAUUUUUUUGCAUCAUUUAGUUGUAACUUGAACAUUGGGAGGUUUAUAAAGAAUUAAAUUAAUUAUAAUGCCUCUACUAGGAAAAGUUCAGAGUAGCCCUUCACAACUUUUUAAAGGCUUAAUAAUUUUCGCUUUCUUCCUCUCAUAACAUAACAAAAAAUUAAGAGCUUUACUCGUACACGUCCUAUGGCUAUAUAGUAUUGGGUUCUCUACUUCAAUCGGCUAUCUCAAACCGAAGGUUAUUUGGACACACCAGCAGUCACGUUUGG